AACCACUUGAGCUUCUCCUGAUUGCAUUGAUCCCUUAUCAGGCUCUGCCUUGGUUGUAUCUCUUCCUUCCUCAUCCUGCAGCAGUGAAUGUUGGUUAUCAGUAGGACUAAAUCUUUCAACUUUGACAAUGUUCUCAAAAGGUACCUUGGUUGUAUCCCUCUCUUCCUUGUCUUGACACUCUAAACAUGACGGCAGGGCCGAAUGUUCAUUACCACUAAGACUAGCUCUUUUAAACUCGACAAUUUUUUCAAAAGGUGCCUUCUUUUUAUCUCUUCCUUCCUCAUCUUGCAGCUCUAAAAGUGAAGGCAGGGCAAAAUUUUCAUUAUCAGUAGGACUAACUCUUUCAACCUUGACAAUUUUUUCAAAAGGUGCCUUGGUUGCCUCUCUUCUUUCCUUGUCUUGCAGCCCUAAAAGUGAAGGCAGGGCAGAAUGUUCAUUAUAAGUAGGACUAACUCUUUCAACCUUGACCAUUUUUUCAAAAGGUUUUCUAUUCCCUUCUGCUCCUGAAGAUGAAGAUGAAGAUAAAGAGUCUAUCUUGCCAGUCAGAGUCAAUUUUGAUUCUUUGAUGCGCCGUUUACGUGCAGCUUUCUGAGCAAAAUCACACAGUUUUUGAUUAACAUCACAGAAUCCACCUUUUGCCUGUCUGACAGCAUUUAAAUUAGAGUCAGAAUGAUUUCGCCUCUGAUUGGAGACCAGCGGUAUGUCUCAAACUAGCAGGACUAGCAUCGCAAUUCCCAACUUCUAAAUCAUAAAGAGUAGCCAACACAGAAUCAGAAUUACAGAGAAGUGAGCAAAUUACCUGAACCUUAAUCAUGUCUAGAUUGUGUCUCCUCUUACCAGCAGUCUUCAAAGACAAAUUUUGGAUAACAUUUUUGUCGUUGGUAGUAAAGCCAGGUUCUUUGGUUUCCUCCUUACUGGCACUUUUCAAGUCAAAGCUGCUCAUUAUUUUCUUAUACGCAGCAUGGCCAGCUUCCAGUGUCAAACAGUCUGGACUGGAGUUGGAGUCUUCAGCAUUACCAUUUGUAAGCUGUUCAUAAUUAGAGCAGGGAGUUAAAUGCAAAAGGAGACUAACUAUGAAUAGCUAUGAAGAAGUACUUGGAUACUUGUAUAGAAAUAAGAAAAAAGAUAUACAAAAUACAAAACUUAUACAUCCAUGCACUCAAACACCAACAUGAAGUUUCAAUAGUUCCAUUAGCCCUUUCAGAACAUGUGCUAACAGAAGUUGAAGCAUAAAAAGAUACAGCCAGUCAUACCUUAAUUGUUUCUGAAUGGUUUGAUUUAUUCGCUUGAAGCAUCAAAGAUGCAUUUAAGGUCACACCAUUUUCUGUGGGAGUUAUACAGCAUUCUUGAAUUUCCUCUUUUAUGGGGACAAAAGAAUCAGACUGACUCAAUUUUAUGCUCUCAUCCAAAGGUUCAGCUGCAUGCUCCGGAGAGGCAACUACACCCAGAGUCUGCUCAUUUGAAGGUUAAACAUACAGUAUCACAUGUCAGCUCCUGGAAGAAAAGGAAAAACAUGCAGGUCUUGAAGAAUAACAUAUGAGAGUUACAUCAAAUGGAAAUGAAGGGAGGGAAAAUCAAUACGCUGAGAAAACAUAAUGAGGUUAGACAUUACAAAAUUAGAGUAAUCCUACUCAUGGAAUGAUAUAAUUAUCAGCAAUCUACUAUUGAUUCAAUCCAUUAGACCAUAGGUAUUAAAAUUCUAUUCUCGUUUCUUCUUAGAGGUACAAAAAAAUGGAAAGGAAAAAAAUGGGGGAAAAGUUCUAGCUUGAUAUUAUGGAACUUUUACACGACGCAGAAACAAUACUUUGCUUAAGAACAGAGUGGAAAAAAGUGAGAAUCUGCAAAAUAUAUCAUGGUCGGUGCUUGUUAAUUUAAAGUUGGAAUCACUCACACACAAAGAGCAUAAAAAUGGUAGAUAACUUGAAUGAGCCUGUAAAGGCUUCCAAUAUCCCCAUUCACAGUUGUCACACACUAGAAAAUUAAGAAAUGACUAAUAAAGAGUUUUCGAGGAUGAACCUGCUUGUCUUUCUCUUGGAAGUAAUCAUUGAGUAGAUCCUUUACUAUUUCAUGUAUUUUCUUUAACUUGUAAAUUAAAGCGCAAUUGAUCAUAAUACAAAUUAAAAUUAAAAUUAACAUUAAAAUUCAGCUCACAUUAGAUUUCAAAGAAAAAAAAAACCAAAAAAAAAAAAUUGCAAGUGAUAAACAGGAAGAAUGUGCAUAAAACAGAGAUAAAAUGCCGGAAAAUUGGGGGAAUGUGGCUUUCUAGGAAGCCAAACAGUACGAAAUGAGAGUACCUGAAGUUAUUGCUCCCCUCAGAUUGAGCUAAAACGAUAUUAUGACACACAUUUCUAGGGUUUCGAGAUCUUGAAUCAGAUUGGGAAAGUGAAAUUAGUGAGUGAAAUUUUGUUUUCUGAAAGCAGGCUAAAGAUUGAGGUAAUUUGUGAUUUUGUUGAGGGUAAUAUUGGAAAUGAGUGACACGUAAUUGGACAAAGGGAUCCUUGUGUCCUCGCGCGUUGAAGCCAGCUACUGUCAUUGUGGGGCCCUUCUUUGACUCAUUGGACUUUUUUUCGUUUUGUUUUGCAUGCAAAAUUGGCGCGGCCGAAACCGUUGAUUCGUUGACUUGCCAAAUCGCCAAAUCCUAUUGGUAAAAGAAGAAACGUUUCGUAUAAUGAAACUUUUUAAGGGCUGAACAAGAAGCACUUUUGGUUCAAGAAAAGCAGUUAUCAAGAGCAAACAACAACAUUCCGAAAAUUAAUCUGACACUGGUCUAUGAAAACCGUUGGUUUCAUUGGCAGUUACAAUAUAAUAUCUUUUCUUUCCUAUUGCAAGUACAAAUACAGGGGCGGACUCAGGAAUUUGUAUUACCCCAGGCUAAAUUAAAAAAAUUUAUAUUUUAAAGUGAGCAUAAAAAUUCAUAAGUAGAAAAAAGUGCAUCAAAUAAGGGGGACACGAAAAAUCUUAUCCUUAUAAAUGCGUACUUUAAACAAAAAUGGUUAUAUAAAAAGAGUAGAAAAUAAAGGUAAUUAAAAAAUAAAAACAUUAUUUUAUAAUUAUGGAAUCUGACUCUAAUAAAAUGUAAUUAUACAAGAAUUAUAUAAGGAUUAAUAUAUUAAUUGAGGAUUUUAAGCUGAAAUAAAUGAAUACAUGCAAUCACAAUCAAUUAAAAAUUGCCAGUAAAACUUUAAUGUCUGAAGUCAAGUACUUAAUUACGAGGUUUUAAUAAAUUAAACAAUUCAAAUUUAUUCCUCUUUUUAAAUUAUAAAAAUAUUAUUAGUCAAAAGCUUCAAUAAUAAACUAAACUCAACCCAACAAAAAUGUAUUUUGGGUGUCGUCGUUUCUUUGCCAGGCGCUCUGACUCUCUUUGAAGAACCAGUUGAUGAUUUUUCUAUCAAAUUAAAGCUCCUCAAAAUAUUCAAAUUUUAUCUUAGUUAAUGUAACUAAUAAAUAAAAUCUCAAAAUUCACAUAAAAAGUUUAUGAAAAUGUUGACAAUUGUUACUAUAUGUUGUUUUUUUUAAGUAGUUUAAUACUAGUGACAGUUUUAUAUUAGAUUGAUAUACUUUUUUAAUUAGAAGGUUUUUUAAAUAAAUUAAAGUAAUAACAUUUUACCCCCUAAUGUUUUUAUUCUAUAUAAUAAAUAUAUAAUUUACUCAUUUUAUAAAAUAAGUCAUUAAUUUCAAUUGGAAAAAAAAAUUAAAUUAAGGACAUAUUUCAAAUAAUUGAUCCACGGCUGUAAAUAAUUACCGAGAAAAGCAUCAAAUAAAGUUUCGUAGUUCGCUGGAUAUCUACUCUACAGCCAGCAACAACAAAAAUAUUAGCAAUUAAAUUAAAAUAAAUAAAUAAGUGGAAGAAAAAAGAACAAAGAAAAAUGAUAUCCAGCCAAUUGCCUCUUGAGUUAUAUUCUUCACUUAAAACCAUGCAAUAAUACGUAAGAGACUAAAAGAAUGGUGUUAAGUAUCCAUGUUCUAGAAAAGAACUCGCACUGGACGGAAAGGGGGGUUGCCAUUGAAUAGAGUGGCAAGAUGGUAACAAUCUCAUUUAAAACCAUUCUUUUGGUCUCAUUUGAGUUAUAUUCUUCACUUAAAACCAUGCAAUAUUUAAGUGUAUUUAAGAAUAUAACUCAAAUGAGACUAAAAGAAUGGCGCAGUCUAAAUUUUUAUUUUCAUAUUGAGAUAUAUGAACAAACAUCUCUCCUCUUGUGCUAUGUGCUCGAACAAGGUUUCACUCCGUAAGGAACAUGAGUACUUGUCGAUGUGAAUUCAGCCUUGUAACAAAAAUUUGGAUUAUUCCAAGCUCUAAAACGCCUACCCAUUUUUUCAUAAAACCCAUCUGAGAUUUCAAGUUUCCCUGCAAAUUGUUCCCAUGAAGCUAAAGAGCCUCAAUGCUGGGCAUAAUUGCCGUUUUGAAAAUAUAUAUAUAUAUAUAUAUACAAACAUUAAGUAAAAUUAAGUUCAAGUAACAAUAAUAUUUUUUACAAAUAAAAAAAUUACAAAAUUAAAAAAAUGGCGAUGAACAUGUAUAUAUAUAUAUAUAUACACCUGCGAAGAGAGUGGAGAUCGAGAGGUGAAGAAGAAGAAGGAGUAGCAGUGGCUUCCACUUCUACUUCCAUGGCGUCUCCGUAUUCCAUUUUUGUCAAAAUUUGAUUUUUUUUUUCUUUUUUUCACUCGGAAUUCACAUUAAACACUGUUUUUUUGAGGGAAAUUUUAAAAAAUGGGAAAAAACACGAGAGCUCAGAACAUGGGCUGGGCUUCUUUUAAGAUUGGAUUUAUAAUAAGCCUAUUGUUUUUUUAUUGGUGAAGUCAAAAUUUUGGACAACUUUUUAUUUAGAUUAUGUUUCGGAGCUUGGAUAAAUUAUGGGAUUGGAUUAGAUUUUGGAAUUAAUAAAUAGAAGGUUACUGUUGGCACUAUAAUUAAAUUUCAAAUCUACAGAAAGUCUGAAUUUAUAUAUUUUAUAGCAGAGUCUAGGGGUCUAUCAACCAUUGUUUGAAAAUCUUCACUAACAAAAUAGCGAGACUUCUAUCUUACUGCAAUACAUGGGCAUAAUUAAUGCACUCUCUUCGACAGUAUCCAAAUGCUACAAAAUUAAUAAUCAAAUAUUCAAAGCCCAAACCUAAAUUUUUUUAAUUAAGAGACAUGAAUUACAUCCCUAGCAAUAAAUUAGAGGAAAAAAUUACAUCAGAACUUACAUGCCUUCAAGUACUUACGUAUUAUUGCAUGGUUUUAAGUGGUUAUUUCCAUCAGAACUUACAUGUAAGAGACUAAAAGAGUGGUGUUAAGUAAGCAUACUCUGGGGAAUGAAAAACUUAACACCAUGCAAUAAUACGUAAGAGACUAAAAGAGUGGUGUUAAAAAGAGUGUUACGAGCAAUAAACACAUGUGAUAAAUAAAGACAAUCUCACGUGCAUUUUCAACAAAUGUUCGAACUACGAAACUUUAUUUGAUGCUUUUCUCGGUAAUUAUUUACAGGCGUGGAUCACAUGCUUGCUGUGAUGGCGAGCAUUUUUGAAUGGUAAUGACUUGUGGUUUAAUUUGGGGUUUUGCUAAAUUAUACUAACUCGGAAUUAAUUUUUUUGUAUGGCUCAUUAUUGUUGCUUUGUUAAAUAAUUAAAGAGCUAUGGGAGAUUAAUUUUAGAUUAACUGUCAGUUACAGUGAAUUUUGUUGUGCUUUCCCUUGUACAGUGGCGCAUAAUUGCAUACGUGUUAAAUUAUUUAUUAACUAAGAGCAUGACAAUAUUAGAAAAGAAGGAGAGAAAAUAAAUAGAAGACAUGAUAUUUAGAGAUGAGUUUUAUUCAAUCUCAAACAUGUACAAAUAAGGAGAUGAGCUCUCAUUUUGUAAUCACAUAACCGUGUAAAUGAAGUAAAUAAUUCGUAAAUAAAUAUAUCAUUAGACAUAAGUUCUUUUAAGAUAGUGAAAAUUAUAAGAAAUGAAGAGUUGUUUGAUGUGAAGAUAAAAUAUUCUUUGAUGAACAUCUACAUAAAUUAUGAUUAUUUGAUAACAUUUCUCCUUGGAUGUUCAUCCUAAAAAGAAUAUGCUUCAUUGAAACCUUUGCUGGUAAAAACCUUAUGAGAAAUAGACUAACGAAGGAAAAGGAAUACACUAUUCAUUUAUACCUUAUAGAGGUAGGGGUACAAUCUGCCUUGUUAAAACUUUAAUAAGAAAAUCCAAUGGGACAAAAACUUAAUGAAGGAAAAAGAAUAUAGUGCAUGGAGCCUUCUAUAUCCGUAACUCCCUUCUCUUCAAUAAGGACACUUUCCCUCAAAGUGACAUGGGUGCUUCAAUGAUCAAUCGUAUUUUAUUGUAAUACCUUGGUUAAAUAAUCUACAAGAUCAACACAUCUUUUGAAAGCUUGAAUAUAUAAUAUAAAACCGUCAUAUUGAUUGAAGAAUAUCUCCAUGCAUAUAUCUUCAUAAUUUUGUUAAUCUUCUCAAGUAAAACUAAGCUUUAGCAUGCAUAUACAAGAAAAUUGUGUAAUAUAUCUUUCACACUAUUUUGACAUUUUUAUGUUUAUGUUGAACAUAAUGUAAUUUACAAUUAUGCAAUUUUCCAAUGCCUUUUGUAGACACAAGUUGGAAUAAAAUAUGGUUCUUCGGGACUAAGAUGUAUACAAUAAAUUCUAAAAUAGAACAAUUAUUGAAGUGAAAUACUUCUGAUAUUUCUAUUAUAUCAGAAUUCUAUGUAAUAAAUUUCAAUAUAUAAGUUGAAAAAGAUUACGUCAUUUCAAGAUUUUUCAUCUGGAAUCUUAUUCAUUCUUAAAAGAAUAAAAUCAUAAGCUCUUCAAGAGUAUUUUCCAUUUUUAGAUCAUCAACAUAUUUUGCAAAGAUUGCAAAUCUAAAUUUUAAUUUUUAAUAAAAUCACAUAGCGAAGUGGAUAACAGCAUAUCAAGCUUUUAACAAAUUUCACUAAAGUGAUUAUACUUUAUAAGUCUAGAUAGCUAUAACAUACACAAUCAUGAUUAUAGCCCUAUCAAGAAUAUAUAAAGUGCAAGUUUUUUUAUUUAAUACUUCAAGUACUUGUUUCUAACAUUUUAUCCUUCAAAUAUAAGUACAUAGAUUCUUUAAUUUGACUUUGACAUAGCAUAGUUUAGAUACAAGUUUUAUUAGAAAUUUUAUGGCUUCAGGUGUAUGGACUAUAUGUUAAAAAUUUUAUAUUUUUUUAAUUAAUUUUAUGUCUUCUAACAGAUGGACCACAUGUCAAAAUUUUGGCUAAUCACAUAAAUCGAUAUUCUUUUAUAUUUUUGUGAUUUAGGAUCUUGAAUAUUUUAUCAUAACAACUAAAUUUUUAUUAACAACAAUCUUAUGCCAAUUUCAAAUUUUCUCUUGCACCAAGUACCAACAUACUAGUGAUUAAAUAUUGUUUAUUUGUCAAUAUAUGUGCCCAAUGAGAUAUUUUGAAGCUUCUAAUAAAUAUGUCUCUGCAAGGGUUAAAACUCUCUUUUAAUUUCCAAGCAUGUCUUUUAUAGGACAAUUUGGAUAUCUUUAUUCCUCACCGUUUACCUAUUCAAGAGUAUUUAAGAUUCAUUUUCUAGUUAGUAGGGGCUAUAUAUUCAAUCACUUAAUAAAGAUCAAAUAUUUUGCUAUACAUGCGAACAUGGUCUCUGUAGAGCAUUGAAUUAUUUUGUUUUAACUUCCCGAGAAUUAAAUUCUUGCAUCAAUUGAUUUAUCACAUGCUUCAAGCGUUUAUAUAUUUAAUUAUUUGUCUCAUCAUUUUGUUCUUCAAGGACAUCAUAUAUAUCAACCCACAAUCAUAUUUUAUUUGUGAUUUUUCACUUUCAUAUAUCAACAAAUUCAUUCAAUAAUCGAUCAACAAUUCACAUUGUAUAAUAUCCCUUUUGAAUUUCAAGUUCAAAUUACAUAAAUAUUAAGACGAGGUAAAGUGAUAUAUAGUAUGAUCAUAAAAUCAAAUCAUCCAUCAUGUAUAGCUUUUCUAUCCCUUGUGAUGGGAAGACCUUUUCAUAAAAUAUUUAUGCAUAACUAAUGGUGAAUCAUAACAAAUAAUAAAUUGCUUCUAUAAAUUCAUCUUCACUUGAUUUAAACAAAAAUAAAAAAUCAAGACAAUCUGCUACCUCUUCAUUAAAAUUCUUCUGAAUUUUAUAUAAUUUGAUACAUAAUCAUUAGCCUGAUUUACAAAUUUACCAUUUGAGCUUCAUCAUUUCAAACUACGUAAGAAACUCUAGAAUUAUUGAAGUUUCAUCUCAAAGUUUUUCAAUUUCUAAUUCGUUCUACUUCGUGUGGUGCUAUAUAUAUAUUGCAAUCAUAAAUACUUAAAUGUUGAUCUCUGCAAUGUCAAUAAAUUUAAUCAUGGCAUGUCUUCCACUAAUCCCACAAUUAUCAAAUAAACAUUCGCUUCAAGGAAUGUUACUGCUGGGGCAUAAAUGAGCUAUAAAAUAUUUGCGCAUACCACAUGUUCUCUUUAAAUAUACUCUUGAUGAUUUUCUCCUCAUAUACAUAUAAAAACAAGAAAAUCAAAUCAUGAACUUUUGUUUGAUCUUUCAGUGAUCGCAUGUUUUCUUUUACUUGUUUCAAAGAAACAAAUUAUCCAUUUGGAUAUUCAAUUUUCGCUCCUUCAAGGAGAUAAAAUAAAUGACCAUUUUAAUUCAAUCCUUGAACAUCUUCCAUAUAUUAUGUUAUUUUUCCUUCAAAUUUUUUUUGAAACAACCAAUUAUGCCUUAUUUAUAUAAUCAUUUUGUAACUCGUUCUGGAGAUAUGGAGAAAGAAAUUCAUAUAUAAUCUUAUACGACAUAUACAUAAACUUAUAAUAUUUGUUUAGUCCUUAAGGAAGUAAGAUAUACACUUAAUAGUGAAUCCUUCGUAAAAUAUGUUUCUGAGGAAUUAUUCUAAAAUUAUGAUGUUAUUCACUACUGAUAUCUGUUUGAAUUGGACAGGCCACCUGAUAGCCAGGAGUAAUGUAUACAGCUUUGGAGUUGUUCUUCUAGAGCUACCGACAGGAAGGAAGUCCAUUGACAAGACAAGACCAAGCAAAGAGCAAAGCUUGGUAGAUUGGGCCCGGCCGAAACUAAAUGACAAGAGAAAAAUGCUGCAUACAUUCACACUUCAGGAUGAAAUUAUUUUUUUUGUUUCAAUAUACUGUCUAUAUAAUAGCAAUUCAAUAUUAGAAUAGGAAAUAGCAAUAUAAAUGAAUGGAACGAUAGAUAAAUCCAAUUACCAUAACGGUUAAUAAAGAAGCGAUUUCAUAGAUUCAUUCUCUUAAAUCAUAGAAAAACAUAUAAAUAUAAUUUUAGACAAAAUCUAAAUAGUUCAAUUCAUACCUUUAUGAUUAAGAUCAAAAGAGAGAAAUUUACCGUACUACCUUUUUCGCUAAGAAUCGUAUUGAUGCAUGUUAAAUUAUUUAUCAAUUAAGAGUUCAACAAUAUAGCAAGAGAAAGAGAGAAGCAAAUAAGAGACAUGAUGUCUAGCGAUGAAGUUUAUUCAAUCUCACGUAUAUACAAACAAGGAGAUGAGUCAUCCUUUUAUAGUCACAUAACCAUAUAAAUGAAGUAAACGAUUAGUAAAUGGAUAUAUCAUUAGUUAUAAGUUCUUAUAAGAUAGUAGAAGUUAUAAGAAAUAAAAAGUUGUUUGUUGGGGAGAUAAAAGGUUGCUUUGAUGAACAUUUACAUAAAUUAUAAUUAUUCUCUCUCUCUUUCUCUCUCUCUCUCUAUAUAUAUAUAGAGACAAAGAGAGAAAAUUUUCAAUUCAUGAUUUUAAAGUGCGGGAACUACUAUAUAUAUAUAUAUAUAUAUAUGUAUGUAUGUGUGUGUAUGUAUGUAUGUAUGUAUGUGUGUGUGUAUGUAUGGAUGUAUGUAUAUUGGCAAGACAAAUGACGUUUAUAAUUAGAAAAUAUUGCUCUCCCAAUAUCCUGCAUAACAAUUGUAGCAAUCCAAAGUUGUCUGUUUAAUUACACAAUAGUUCAAAGAUGAAAAUGCUUAUAUCUCAAAAAGAAAAUUAAUGAGAAGAAAAGAGACAAGUUUAAUAUGUGGCCUUUUUUUUUUAAUUGUGAACUUAAUUAAUUUAAUUUCAAUCAGUUAAGUCAUUAAAAUCUGUUCAUUUUUUCAACUUAUUAAAAGUUUUCAAUUAUUAAACCAAUUUUUUCCUUUUCGCUUUUUACUUAAUCUAAAAAAUCUGAAGAUAUUGUCUGAAAUAUCUCAAUUUAAUAAAUCUAUUUUCAUCUAAAUAAAAUUUAAUCAGGGGCAAAGCCAAAAAAAAAUUGGGUGGGCUAAAUGUUUUCCAAAGUCCAAAUAUUAUCACAAUUAAGAGUGUAAAACUUAAUAAAAAGUUCAUUAAUAUAUAAGAAAAUAAAUCGAAUCCCAAAAGUAAUUCAAUUACAAUUAAAAAUUCCUUAGGUUGUACCUUACGAUACUUUCGAGCAUUAAAUUUAUCUAUUAUUGAAUUUGAAUCGAUAGUGUCUACAAUUCUCUUUUAUACAAUCUGAUAUAAACUCCUUCUCCAUCUUAUUUUGAAGUGCUGUCUUGAUUACCCACUAAACCAGGCCAUUUGAUUCAGCUCUUAGAUUUCUUCUUUUCUUUCAUAGAAACAACUAUCUCUAAUAUAUGAUCUAUCAAUAAUCAAUUUAAAAAUUUAAUUGCUAGAAUUCAAUGAUUUGACCUAACAAUAAUUUAAUCUUAUGCAAUAAAAUUAGAAUAAGAACUAACUAAAGUCUUUACUACCAUACAAUUAAUAAAUAUAUUGUAAAUAAUUAAAUAAAAAAUAAUUUUAUUAUAUGUUUUUACCAACAAAAGAUAAAUAACUGAAGAAGAAGCAGAGCACGUCAACACCAAGAACCCAAGAAACAAAGAGAGCAGGUUUUGAAAGAACAAAGUAAAUGCUCACUUUUACUAAUUUAUUUAUAUGAAGGACAAAGUUGCAAAUUAAUGGAAUGAUAAAGUUGUAAAUAAAAGAAAGGGUAAUGAGAAUUUUGUAAACUUUGCACAAUGGUAUUUUUGGAAAUUUAUCAAAAUUUUGGACGGGCUGCAACCCACAAGUAGCUCCGCCCAUGAAUUUAAUAAUUAGCAUUAUUAUUCAUUUCUAUAAACUAUGAUAAUAGAGUAGUAGAUUAUUACUAUUUGUAUCUUUUUAUUUUCUUCAAAGAAUUAUUUAUCUCCAUAAUUUUUAUAAAAAUUUUCAUAUAACCCAUCGUAAACUGUAAUAAAAUUGAUUUACAUGUUUUAAUUCAUAAUUUUAAAGGAUUAUUUUCACUUCAACAUCAUUUAUGUAAUGAUGAAAAUAUAAAUAUUAUUUUCUUCAUCAAGAUAUUUAUUACUUCUUUAGCAUUUAAAAUUUGUAAGAACACAAAUGUAAAUGUACAUGUUUUCUAACUUUUAUGUUGAGGAGAAAAAAAAAAAAGCCUUACAUUUAGUAAAUCAAAUUUAAUUUUGUCGGUACAUGAUUCAAAAUUUACUUUCAUGACAUCGAAUUACACUCCCCAUUACAUCAUUAAAACACAUAAUCUACCUCUAUUCCACUAGAAAUUUAUUUUUUCGAAGGCCUAUUGACCUGGACGAAGACCUGUUGAGAAGAACAUUUUAGCUACUUCAGAGGAGAGUCUAAAUCAAGAGGCAAUUGGCUUCUGCUUAGACCACACGGUGGACAACCAUACAGGAAACAUGAUUAGAUAAAAGGACUAAUGAAUGGUGUUGAAGUUGUUCCCUCAAAAAUUGGGUAACUGCAAUCUUCUGUCAGCACUUUCUGAUCAUUUUCUUUGUUUAAAACGACUAAUGAAUGGUGAUGAAGUUGUUCCCUUAAAAAAUGGGUACCUGCAAUUUUCUGUCAGCACUUUCUGAUCAUUUUCUUUGUUUAAAAGGACUAAUGAAUGGUGUUGAAGUUGUUCUCUUAAAAAAUGGGUACUUGCAAUUUUCUGUCAGCACUUUCUGAUCAUUUUCUUUGUUUACCGUUUUUCCCCGGCAAAGAUCACAUGCAUGUUGAUUGUAUGACUUCCUUUAUCCACACUAUGUAUUGUUGUUGUCUGUUUGGGAUUCGCCAGAGGAUUUUCUUGGCUUAUGUCAUCUCAGACCGUCAUAUGCUAACCAUAAUCAAUGCUCACAAUGAAGACUUUUCUAAGCUUCAAUAAUUGAUGCUUAUUAUACAGAUUAGCAUAAAUUGGCAUGGAUUCGAGGAUUUGCGAUAUAACAACAUAUCCUGAAAGCUUACGAUAAUUACAAUGUUAUCCAAAAUGUUCCCUAUACUUGAAUACGUAGCUUUGCUUUCUGUGAUAUUGUUUCAAUUGGAGCCUAGAAUUGCUGAUUCUAACAACACAGUAAUGAGGUGCAUUGAUGAGGAGAGAGAAGCACUUCUCACUUUUAAACAGAGCCUGGUGGAUGAAUAUGGUGUUCUGUCUUCCUGGGGAAAAGAUAAUGACAAAAGAGAUUGCUGUAAAUGGAGAGGAGUCCGUUGUAGCAAUAAAACUGGCCAUGUCAAGGUGCUCAAUCUUCGAAGAUCCGACGAUGAAAAUUCUCGAGGGACAGUCUUGAAAGGUACAAUUAGCCCUGCUUUGCUUAAAUUGCAUGAUUUAAGACAUUUGGACCUUAGUAACAAUCACUUCGGUGGAAGCCCACUUCCUGAGUUCAUUGGUUCCCUCAGUAGAUUGAGGUACCUCAAUCUCUCUUGUGGUACAUCUUUAUUAAAAGUACCUCGUCCAUUCCAGUACCUUUCAGGAUUGGUAUAUCUUCACCUAGAAAACUCUAAUUUAUUUAGUUUGGGAAGCCUACAGUGGCUUUCUCAUCUUUCUUCUUUAAGGCACCUAGACCUGAGUUACAUUAAUCUCACUAAAUCUAGUGAUUGGUUUCAAGUAGUUGCCAAGCUCCAUUCCCUAAAAACAUUAGUCCUACACUCAUGUGCUCUUCCACCUAUCAAUCCUUCAUCUAUUUGGCACUUCAAUUUGAGUACGUCUAUUGAGACCCUUGAUCUCUUCGACAACAGUCUCCCUUCUUCAUCAGUAUACCCUUGGCUUUUCAAUCUUAGUCGGAAUAUUCAAUAUCUUAACCUUGGCUUUAACUCAUUACAAGGUUCAAUUCCAGAGGCUUUUCAACUAAUGGUUUCUCUUAGAUUUCUCUAUCUCACCUCUAACGAACUUGAAGGUGGGAUUCCAAAAUUCUUCGGAAAAAUGUGUAGCUUAAAUAGAUUAUGCUUGCCUUACAAUAAACUCAGUGGAGAUCUCUCGGAGAUGAUUCAAAAUCUGUCUGGUGGAUGCACGAUGAAUUCACUGGAGGGUGUAUGUUUAGAAGGCAAUGAUAUCACAGGGCCAUUACCUGAUCUUGGAGGUUUUUCAUCCCUAAAAAUAUUAGUACUUGGAGAAAAUCGAUUAAAUGGAACAAUAGACAAAAGCCUCAGCCAGUUGUUGAAGCUCGAGUCUCUGUCACUUGGUAGGAAUUCAUUCACAGGUGUUAUCUCUGAAACCUUUUUUUCCAAUAUGUCCCACUUGCAGAUGUUGUACUUGAAUGAUAACUCUUUGACUUUGAAAUUGAGCCAUGAUUGGGUUCCUCCUUUUCAACUGAAAUCGUUAAGUCUUGCCUCUUGCAAGAUGGGACCUCAUUUUCCAAAAUGGCUUCAAACUCAAAAUCAACUUAUUUCCCUUGAUGUCUCCAAUAAUGGAAUCUCGGAUGCUGUCCCUGAUUGGUUUUGGGAUCUGUCUAUUGAACUCGUUUUUUUAAAUCUCUCUAACAACCAGAUCAGGGGUAAACUUCCUGAUUUGUCUUUUUUAAGAUAUGAUGAUAUUGUUAUAGACGUCAGUUCAAACCACUUUUGUGGCCCAAUUCCACCACUUCCGUCAAAUUCUACAUUCUUGAAUCUCUCAAAAAAUAAGUUCUCAAGAUCAAUUACUUUCUUAUGUUCUAUUGUAAAAAACACAUGGAACUUUUUUGAUCUCUCGAGUAACUUAUUAUCUGGAGGGCUUCCCGAUUGUUGGUUGAACUUUGAUAGCCUAUCCAUUCUUAAUUUGGCAAACAAUAGCUUCUCCGGGAAAAUUCCAGACUCGAUGGGCUUCCUCCAUAAUAUCCAAACACUGAGUUUACACUCCAAUAGGUUAACCGGGGAGUUGCCUUCAUCUUUAAAAAAUUGCUCACAACUGAGAGUUUUGGAUCUUAGGAAGAAUGCAUUGUACGGUGAGAUACCAACCUGGAUAGGGGGAAGUCUUCAAAAUUUGAUUGUUCUUAGCUUGAAAUCUAAUAAUUUUCAUGGAAAUAUACCUUUUCAGUUAUGCCAUCUGGCGUUCAUUCGAGUUCUGGAUCUCUCUUUAAACAAUAUAUCGGGAAAGAUACCAAAAUGUUUCAAUAAUUUUUCAGCCAUGACCCGAGAAAAAAGUUCCAAUCCUAUCAUUGGGUUGGCUGACAAAAUCUGGAUUUUCCCUAGAUAUGUAUAUAGGUAUAGUUAUUUGGACAAUGUUCUGUUGACAUGGAAAGGAAGUGAACACGAGUACAAAAGUACUUUGGGACUUGUAAAAUGUCUUGACCUUUCGAGUAACAAACUACAUGGAGCAAUUCCUGAAGAGAUUAUGGAUCUUGUGGGGUUGAUUGCUUUAAACCUUUCAAGAAACCAUUUAACUGGACCAAUCACUCCAAAGAUUGGUCAGUUAAAUUCAUUGGAUUUCCUUGAUUUAUCUAGAAACCAGUUUUCCAGAAGCAUUCCGUCUAGCCUUUCUCAACUAAAUGGUCUUAGUGUCUUGGACUUGUCGUCCAACAACUUGUCAGGAAAAAUCCCAUUAGGUACUCAGCUUCAAAGCUUCAAUGCUUCGGUGUAUGCUGGAAAUCCUGAACUUUGUGGCCUUCCACUUCCAAACAAAUGUCCGGAUGAAGAAUCAACUCCAUUGCCAGGCAGAAAUGAUGGUGCAAACACUCUAGAAGAUGAGGAUGAUCAGUUUAUGACUCUCGGAUUUUACGUGGGCUUGAUUCUUGGUUUCUUUGUUGGAUUCUGGGGUGUCUGCGGAACUUUAAUGCUGAAUAGGUCGUGGAGACAUGGUUACUACAACUUCUUGACUGGUAUGAAAGAUUGGCUUUAUGUGACAGCAGCUUUGAAUAUUGCCAAACUGCAAAAGUUCAGGAACUAAUUAAACGGUAAUACUCCUAAGUGUAUAGUGUAUUUUAGUAAAGAUUAUUGGCUUUCACAUAUGCUUUUAAUUUCUUCAUCCUUAGACUUGACUCUUUCCUCUUACAAGAUUUUGUUUAUCAAAUCAAUUGUUACUAUUUUUUUGGCAGGGUCUCCCGGUGAUGGCAUCUUGUCAUUAAUUUUCAGAGUACUCAUUUCAUUUUUGGAAACUUUCUAAAAAUAAAGUUGUGCUCCCAUAUGAUGCUCAUUGUAUUAUUGAGUAUAUGCCUAAAGAAACUUGGAUGUGUUUCUCUUUAGUCCAUCAUCGAUUUAUGCGUUUAUUAAUUAUAUGCUCUUGUUCGGAGAAAUUCUAGAGUAAAUCAGAGGUAUUACACCCAAUUAGAGUUUAAUUAUACUACUAAUUGGAAUAAAGACGGUCAAAUUCUGCUCUGUUGUUGAUUAGUGUUAGAAUUUUUAUUUCUUGGAUUUUUGUGUGCCUUACACCUCUUUAUUAGUAUUGAAUAAACUUCUAACAAUAAAAGAGAGAUCUCGCUACAGGAUGUUCAGUGAACAUAAGCAUAAAGCUAAAACACGCUACAUAAAAAUUAAAAUAUCUAAGGUGCAUUUGUACUUUGUAGAGAAUACACGCUUAAUUUAAAAUUCUAGUUGUAUGAAACAUGUUAUAGAAUUUUCUAGACGACAUGGAUAUUUCUUAAUAGAAUAUAUAUUUUAUGAAUGAUUUUUAAAAAGGACCUUAUCUUUUGUUGGGUAAUUUUAAUUACUAUAUGUGUCAAUGUACAAGUAUACACAACAAGUAAUAUAUUGAUGAGUCUAAAUUAAAAUAAAAUAAUUAAUGAAAUUAAUGAACUAACUAAAUUAAAAUUGCAAAUAAACAAAAUGCAAAAAAGAAAAUUCUCAAGUCAAACAUAAGGACAAAGUCAAUGGGAAUAGAGUAGUUGGGUGAUUAAACUCACUUAAUUGUAUUGAUUGUUUUUCCAAUUAAGAUUAUGUUGCUUUAGCAUCUCCUACAACACUAAGCAGAAUCUCUCACGUAUUCUCAGCUGUCGCUUGUUGAAUAUCUUAUAUCUAAAUACAACCUAAUAAUGACUAGUUGUUACGCUAACAUUAAAUAUAGCAUCAUGUGUUCUAAGUUCUAAUUGCCCUACAAGGUAAAUCGGUAUGUCUAGUUCUUUAUUAAUUUUAGAUUAAGCAUGUCCCUAUUUAAAUCAAUAUUAACUCAACUUGGGAAACCCAAUCUAAAGCCAUUUAUUGUCUUAAUUUGUUCCACUAAGUUAGACAUUUUUUAGGUUGUUUCUUAGCUAGUAUUCACUAAAUGGGUGGUCAGCCGAAAUAGGGAAUUGCAAUAAGUAAAAUCAAGACAAAAUGCUAUAGUAAAUACAGAGCAGCACACAUAUAUCAUUCAAAUAACCAUUAAGCUUAUUUAUCACUCAAUCACAACAAAGUUUAGUUUAGGAUUUGCGAUAAAACAGUAACAAAAAUAAGUUUAGCCAUGAAAUACUGAACUUAUUUAAGUUUAUAAUCUAUAAUAUAUUUAUAUAUAUAUUAUUAUUAUUAUUAUUAGGCUUUAAUUAUGUUACAUGAUCAUAUAACAUACAUAAUUCUUCCACAGCCGUUAGAUGAAAAUUCAACGACUAUGGAAGAAUCAUAUAUCUUACAUGAUUAUGUAAGAUAAUAAUCACUUUAUUAUUAAGCUAACAGAAGGAUGAUGUAAUACAUAUGUACAUGCUUCUAGACAACAAAUUCAGAGAAGCAUUACGCAAAGUCAACAGUUAACUAAUCAAAGUCAGCGGACAAUUACGUUUGGUCCUUGCUUGGGAAUUUCUAAUUUCAAUGGCAGCAAAGUCUGUGGAAAAUUACUUUAAAUGAAGUAUGUACACAAAUGCACACCAAUUAAGAAUAUUACAAAAAUCAUUUAGAUGGUACACAUCAUACAAAAACACAGCUUCAGUUUCGGAAGGGGACCAUUAAUUGUUCAAAAUCGAUAUACAAACAUGGUGGCCCUAGCUAAGAAGAUAACAUGCAUGAUAAGGAUAAACAAUUACCCCAAUCUUUCUUUUGUGGACAUGUGAAUAAAACAAAGACAGAUUCUGAAAGAAGGCGUAUCUAUAGAUGGCCAAUUCAGAACUUAUUUAAGAUCAUACGUUAAUUUUAUUUUUAAUUGAGAUAGAGCCUCUCAUGUUGGCGUUAAUAUGUAGACAAAUAUGAAUCUGAUGCAUAAUAGUACUUUUGAAAUUUUGUUUAAUUAAUUCUUAAGUUGAAAUAUAAAACAAGUAUUCCCCAAUCAACCACGAAGAAUUAAUACCCAUUUAGUUUUUUAAUCUGAAAUUUAAAAUCAGUCUGAAUUUGGUUGAAGUCUUAGCUGAUAGUUUGAUGUGUUUUUUUUUUUUUUUUUUUAAUAUCUAAAUAUAAUUGACAUUAUAUUUGUUCUUAUAAAUAAAAAAAAGUUAAAUACAGUUAUUUAACAUUUAUAUCCUUGUAAGUUAAAAUGCAUAAAGGGCUUAAGUUUUAUAGUUUAGCAAAUAAGUAUAUUUAAUAGAGAUGUUUUAGGAUAUAAUAUUUACUUCUUCGUGCCUUUUCCUAUUUAUAUAAAAGUCACAAAAAUUUACUCUUUAUUUUUAAUUCAAAUGUAAAUGUAUGAAAAAUCAUAUAUAAGUUAAAAAAACAAACGAACAAUUUUAAAAAAGUUUGAAAUAAAAAAAAUUCAAAUUUUAGACAUUUAACCAAUAAGCAUCAAUUUCAUCUUGGUCAAGAGAGUAGUUGGCUACCAUGAAAUUUCUGAUCCCUGUCUAGUAUGGGCAUGUCAUGAAUUAAGCUACGUAUUUUAAUUUUUGCCUUAAAAAAAUUUCCAUUCUUUGUUCUAGAAAAUUGAAAAAAAAAAGAAUAAAAAAUAGUUCACGUUGGUAUUAUCAUUAUAUUAGUAUUAUAAACAUCUCAACCGUUACUAAGUACUCUAUGGCUCGGGUCUUUAGCAGGGUUAUUGAUAGGAAUCAACCGUUUAUUCGCUGACGCAGUAUCAAUUACCAUUGGUUGUUCUUCCACUGUUUAAGAUACAGAUUUAAGAGCAAAGCAAUUUGAAUGCUUGUAAUUGUUACUCUUGCAUCCAAUUUUCCCCAGGAAUUACAGGAUCAACAAUCCCAUCAAACAUAUUACUUUUAACGUGGCUUAACAGGAUCAACAAUCCCACUGCAGUAGUCAGGUGAUUUUGUCCAUGAUUUAUUCAAUUCAGUCUACAGUUCACUAAAUAUGAAAGGAAAGCAUUAAUAAAUUAUCAGGACAAGCUUUUUAUAAGUGAAUUUCUGCCCAAACAAAGCAUCAAGUGACGAUAUAUACCAAAACUGUAAACAUCAUAGUUCUCUUAUUUUCAAUAAAAUGUGUUUUAUUUUUUUGGGUAAACGUAAACCAACGCCAGUUUUAUUUUGUUUCUACGAGGCUUUGUCAUCAUUUUGUGUGUUUACCAUUUUUCCACGGCAAGAUUACAUGGAUGUUGAUUGUACGACUUUCUUUAUCCAUGCUCUGCAUUGUUGUGUGUUUGGGAUUCGCCGGCGACUUUUCUUGGCUUUAUUCAUCUCUCAAAUUUUCAUAUCCUAACACAUAAUCAACGCGCAGACUGAAGACUUUUCUUGGAUUCGAUAAUUGAUGCAGAUUAUACACAGUAGUAUAAAUUGGCAUGGAGUCCAGGAGUUUCGAUAUAACAGCAUAUCCUCAAAGCUAAUGAUAAUUAUAAUGUCAUCCAAGUUGUUCCUUCUAUUUGAAAAUAUAGCUUUGUUUUCUGUGAUAUUUUUUCAAUUGAAGCCCACGACUGCUGAUUCUAACAACAUAAUAAUAAGGUGCAUUGAUGAAGAGAGAGAAGCGCUUCUCACUUUUAAACGGAGCUUGGUGGAUGAACAUGGCGUUCUGUCUUCCUGGGGAAGAGAAGAUGACAAAAGAGAUUGCUGUAAAUGGAGAGGAGUCCACUGUAGCAACACAACUGGCCAAGUCAAGGUGCUCAAUCUUCGAACAUCCGAUUAUGAAUUUGCUCGGAGGAAGUUCCUGAAAGGUACAAUUAGUCCUGCUCUGCUUAAAUUGCAUGAUUUAAGACAUCUGGACCUUAGUAACAAUGACUUUGGUGGAAGCCCAGUUCCUGAGUUCAUUGGUUCCCUCAGCAAAUUGAGGUACCUCAGUCUCUCUUGCGGCGGACCUUUAGAACUCCCUCGAAAAUUCCGGAACCAUUCAAGAUUGGAAUAAAUGCAAUUCAGGUAUAAACUUCGUUUCCAGAAUCUACUGGGGUUCUUCUUAUCAGGUAUGGAUUUAAAUGUAAAAAUGAAAGAGGGUCGUCCAUUAGCAUUUCCAGAAAUGGUGGUGUAAAAGGAUUGUAGAAAAUUAUUUUUCCUUAAGGUUUAGAGUUCGAAGUUCGAACGGUAGAGAAAAAUGGCAGAGGCUUUGAAGAAAAUCUAUUUUGGUUGGGUGCAGAACUGCAGAUAAUUGAAGAUCUAAGGAAGAUAGAAAAUGGGAGGAGCUUAGGGAGAAAUACAGUAGAAGGACAAAACCUGAAUCCUACUCUCAUUGUGUUGAGUUUGGGAAAUCGAAUGGAGCUGUAGUUUGUAGAGGGUAUAUUAUCUACGAUGAAUGGAAAGUAAUCCAACAAGGGCUUGUAGAUAGAUUUGGGCACUCUUUCGAUCUGAAACUAUUCCACAAUGAAAAAGUAACUUUUUUCUGUCAAAACACAAAUGGAAGUAACCGGUUGGGUAAUAUAUGCAUUUGCAGAUUGCAGGGCAAUGUCAUCAUGGUGUUACGAGGAUGGGUACAACAUUAUUGAUAGAUCAUUGAAUGAUUGAUAUUGAAAGAUUAAAAAUUACUUUUAAGGUUUUGGCUCAUUGUUCGUAGUUAUUAUUAUUGACACGACUGAACAACUAGCUAUAUUACCAUUACGAUUAUUAUGGGGUACAAUACCUUGAUUGAUUAAUUGGCUGGAUCAUCGGGAUUAUAGGUGAUAUAUUAAUUGUUGGGCCACAAGAUUAUAGGUGAUAUAUUGAUUAGCCGAGUCAUCGAGAGCGCAUGUGACACUAUGUGACAUGAGCAAUUGAAUAACAUAAAUAUUUUAUUGAUAAAUGAUUUCUUAGAUGAUUAAAUAUUUGAAAAUGAUUAUUACAUGAUGACUUAACUUAAAAUGAAUUUUAUCAUACUCAUGCAAUAGAUUGUAAAAUGAAUAUUGUUUUCCAAUUUAUGGUUCCUUAUAAUGAUUAUUAUGUAUUUUAUUGUUAUUGGUAAUCUCAUGCAUGAAUUUACUUACCAAGUUGAUGGCUCACCCCUCGUCUCCAACAUUUUGCAAGUUAAUUUUAGAGAUGUGGGGUUUUUGGGUUAGAGAAGAGGAUUUUUUAGCUAACACAUUUUCUUUGAUGAAUAAAUUGUCAUUAUUUUGGUUAUUGUUCACAGUUGAAUUUGUUUUGGAUGAUUAUUGUUAUAUUUAUUAUUUUAGAGAUUUUAUUUUGAUAGUGGACAAUAUUGAUUUUUAUAUUAAUAAGAUUAAUAUCACAAGGUUUCAUUCAUUCCCAAUUCCUCUUGUAAAUUAUAGGGUGAAUUUGGGUUAUUACAUUAUUAAUUAAAUUUCUACAUAGAUGACAUUACAAAGAUGUUGAUCAAAGACUAAAAUAUUUCGGAGAAGAUGGUAAUGUUGUUAGGGUGCACCAAAUUUAAAACCUUACUACUAAUAUAAAUAAUUAGUACAGAGCGAGUAAGGAUCGAUCCCACAGAGACUAUGCUAGUUGUAUUUAUUAUCAACUAUGCUAGUUGUAUUUAUUAUCAACUCUAAAGCAGAACUUAAAAUAAAAUAAUAAUAGAAAUAAUAAUAUAAAUUAAUCUAACUAAAGAAAAUGCCAACUAAAAAUAGAGAAAAGGGGGGUUUUUGAAUUUUUAACUAAAUAGCAAGAAAUAAAGAAAUUAAAACUGCGAAAAUAAUAAUUUAAUAAAAACUCUAAUUAAAGGAGAAAGAAAUAAUAAUGAGAAAAACUUUGGUUAAAUGAUCGCCACCACCAAACCUGCACAUAAUAUAUCAAUUCUAUCAUUAAUUUAUAUUGAAACUAUCAACUGUAGACAACAAUAAUCUCUGUUAGUCUCAAUCUUUUCUUAGUAUGUCGUUAGGCAAAACAAGCUCUUCAUCUAAUCUCUAACUAUUAAAUAAUUUAAAACAAACUCUUUAAAUUUAAGAUAAUAGAAGCAUUAAGUAGAGAAAGAUAUUAGGUUGAUUUAGGCAAUAAACACACAAGCUUGGAUUAUUUAACUUAGGUUAUGUUCUCCAAUCGAAAUCACUGAUUCCAACCUACUACUAAUUAUUAAAAUAUCAAGACAAUUAUGGAUCAAGAAUUUUAAUCUAGCAAUAGAAUUUAUUCAAGUUCUAUCUAAUUGGCCACUCAAAUAAGACAAGAAUAAAAUCAUAAACAUUAAUUAUAGAAGAACAUAAACAAUCUCAAUUAAAUAAAUUGAAUGAUAGAAAUUAAAAAAUUCAAUUGCAUAGCAUAUUUAGGGUUUUGAAUUCACCCUCAACCAAAUAAAAAAUCUAUUCUAACAUAAUUAAAUUGAGAAUAAAAGAGUUAAUAAAACUAGACAUAGAGACUAAUUCAAACGGCUGUCUCCUCUAUUUUUUCUCUUCUCCUUUGCGGCUGCAAAUUAUUUUUGUAUGUGUGGCUGCCGAUCCUCCAAUUCUCCUCUAAUUCUGCCGCAAGUCUAGCUUUUAUAGUAGCUUUUAUUGUGCGCCUUAAAUCCUCACAUGGAAAGGAUUAAAAACAAAAGCCAAGCCGCCACUUUUUGUUCAUGCAUGCACAUUACUUGUACAAUUAAUUGGCCAAUGAAUAUUGUUAAAGCCAAAGCCCAUCACGUGCUUGCCAUUUAAAGCCAUGCCAAAAUAUUUGCUUCCUCAAUUAAUCACAAUAUAUGUUUCCCACGUGAUUGCAUGCAUGUUGAUUAAUCAAAUUAAAUCUUUCUUUCCUAAUCUCUUGUGCACUUUUGUCUCCCAAUCUUUAAUUCUUUUCCUAUUUUUAUUCUUUCAAUGAAAUUUCUUUCCUAAAUGCUCUGAUUUAAUUUCUCUUUAAUCCCAAAAUAUGUCUAAAAUAAUAAAAUAAAAAACUAAGAUAAAAAUUAACACAAUAAAAUAUAAUUUUAACAAAAUAACUAAAUUAAAAAUUAACUGAAAUAACUAGAAUAUUUAAGAUCAAAAUAAGAAAAAGAUGGAGAAAUUAAUAGCAAAAUAUAUGAAAAAUAUGCACUUAUCAGAAGACUAAGAGUGCGUUUGGGAGUGAGGUACUGAAACUUUUAAACUGCAGCUACUGUGAAGUAAAAGCUAUAGAUGUUGAGUAGAAGCUGAUGAUAUUUGAUAAAGAUGCUGUAACUUUUAAGCUGCAGAAGCUGAUAGUGUUUGGUAAAUAUAUGUGUCUAGUAUUUUCAAUUUUAAUUUCACAAUUUUUAUAUAUAUAUAAUUUUAUAAAAAUCUCGGGACCCAUAUUAUUCAGUUAAGACACUGUGAGACAAUUUUGAAUUUAAUAAGAAACAAAUAGUUUUGAAAAUGUUUUUGGUAUUGGAUCCUCCUAAAAAUUUUAUUGGAGAUACCCAUGGAUGUCGAGAAUAGAUCUAUGUAAUUUUGUGUCAUUUUGAUUAUUAGAUUAAGAGUUAAAAUUCAGAGAAUCAGACUUCUACGGGUAUGAAUUAGAAAAUUAAGUUCUUGGAAUAAGUUGUUAAUAGUUAUUUCUUGUAUUUGUUUAAAGUAUUGGAGGUGUUUGAGACUGUUAGAGGCUUAGAGGUGUGUUUAAAUCAUUGCUUUUAUCAAGAUAAGUAACUCUAUUCCUAAUGUACUUGAUAUCUAAUGUACUAGAUAUAUAUGAUAAUUUUGAUAUUUCAAUAUUAUUACAAGUACGUGUGUUUUCUUAGUUCUUCAUAACAAAAAUAAUUGAUGUGAGUGUUUUUAAAUUUGAAAAUUAUGCCAUUUUUAUGGUUUUAACAAAAUAUUAUAAAUGCCUUUAAAUGUGCAAUUUAUUUUGCUAGAUAAUUAUAUUUUUGAAAUUAUCUAUAAAAUGUUAGAAUGGAAAUUGUUCUGCAAGCCUAAAUCAUUGUUAUGAUCAUUUAUGAAUCUAAUAUGAAUAUUAUGUUCACGUAUUCUAUUUAAAUUAUCUAUGAAAAUUUAUGCGGGAGCCACCUUUUGAGACUGUAUGGGGGCCAUAUCUCGAGGACUAAAGUGCCACGUACAUUAUAAAGUACCACGUGUAAUUUGCUACAAAGGAAAAAUAAAUUUAAAUAAUUUGGUUCAUUGUCCAUAGUCAUUUUGAUUCCGUUAUAUACUUACACACACACACAAACACAGAGUAUUGAGUUUCUAUUCAGAUUGUGUCUAUGAUAUUCUGAUUCUCAUUCUAUUCCAGCCUGGUCAUCGAGAGUAUAAGUGACACUAUGUGACAUGAGCUAAUCUUUUGUGUCCUGUAUUUAUAUAUUAUAUGAUUUGUUUCUAUGAUUAAUUAUGAUUUCGAUAUUCUGGAUCAUUUAUGAAUUUGUCCUUAUGUUAUUAUAUCUCAUUGUAAAAUUUAUGUUUUUUUAUUGUGAUAUAUAUAUUGGUAAACAAGGCUUGCAAUACUUUUGGUAUCGGAUAUCCUUGGGGUGUUGGGAAUGGUUUUACUUGCCGAAUUGAUAGCUCACUUCUCUUCAUUACUUUUUGCAGAUUGAGUGACUUGUUGAGAGAUGUGCUUAUCUUUGGAGUUAGAGAUUAAUUUACUUUUGCUAGUUGAAUAAAAGAAGGACGAAUUUCUAUUUCUUUUAAGCUUGUUAGUCUUCUCAACUUGUAAUUGGAGAAUUUUGAAACUUUUGUUACAUUUAUGAUUUGGGAGAGAAAUGUCAAGUAUUUGACUUGUGGAUUUGUUGAUUUGUUUAAUAAAAAUUGAGAUAUUUCAGGUUGAGAUUUUGUGUAAGGAUUUCAAUAUGUAAGUAAUCUCCUACUAUCACAUGCUCCACACGUGUUAAAUUUGGAGUGUUACAACUGUUAAGCUUUGCAUAUCCAAAUUGAUUAAGUUGAAAAUUAGGGUAAGAUGAUAGGAUUCUAGGGUUUUACUUAGAGAAUUCAAGAGAGAAAAGAUGAGGAAUUUAAGAAUUUAGAGGGGAGAGAGAAGAAUUAACAGGGGUUAGAAUUAAUUUUAUUAUUGCUUGCUUAAAAACAUAAUGAGAACCACUUACUUAUAGUGGCUCAACACAUUCCUAAUUCUAAUCUAAUUAGAACCUUAAAUUAUAAUUAUAGUAAGAAAACCUAAUCCUAAUAGGAAAGAAAAAAUAAACCACUUGGGUUCUGUAGAGAUUUGAUUGAACUGCUAAUCUUAUAAAACCAAAACUCUGCCCAUGAUCUUUGACUAAGAUCAACAGAAGUUGCACACAAGCAAUAAAAUUGAACCAGAAUCUAUUCAAUAUCCUCUCAACAGACUUAGCCACUCAAGAACAGAAAUUAAACAACAGAAAAGAAUGAAUCAGAAACAAAAUCACAGAGAGAGCAAGAGAUAACGUGGUCCAAUCUUUUUCAAGACUUGCAUUCCCGAGUGAAAACAUCAGAGAUUGUUUUUUUGAUCGAUUCAACGAAGAAACUACAAGUACUCAGAAUUAAGGAUACAGAGCUUAAGAAUUAGUUUUCUCUCUCCAAGAUUCUCUCUCGAAUACUCUCGAAUCACUCCCGCAAGUGAGGUGCAAAACCAGCUUUAUAUUACAGGGGGAUAACAGAACAAUGAACCCAGAUAGCACAGCCCUCUUCCACGUGCCCAAGACCGUUAAAAGAACAGGGAUGCACUUAAGUGACCACGUGACUUAGCACGCGCAAUUUCUUGAAUCUGUUAUGAGUAAAACGCAAGCUUUAACGUCGUUUACAGUUAGUAAUCACGAGCUCCCUGACGUGACUUCAUAACGGAUUUAACCGAUGGCCCAAUACGCUGCCGUUUGCUCUGGUUUGUGUUUGAAUUCAUUGACUCUACAGGUUCUAAUAGAUUCUUUUGUUUCAAAAUGAAGAUUGAAGAUCAUCCACGGCAGUAGGAGAUUUAAGUUGGAAGAUCAUCCAGAAUUUAUUUCCUUCUUUGCAAGUUGUGUUCUCUCAAGACUCGCAGCUAGAGAUGGCAAAUAUCCAAUUAUGGAUGGAUAAUAUCCAUCCAAAUACAAAUCCAUAAUUAUUCAUGAUGGAUAUAUCUAUAUCCAUAUCCAGUAUUUAAUAUUGGACAUGGAUAUGGAUUUUAUCCAUAAAGAUAUGGAUAUCCAUGAAUAUUUUAUUUUUAUUAUAUAAAAAAUAAUAAUAAAAUAAAAUAAAAAAUAAUAUAAAAUAGUUAAAAACAGUAUUAAAUUCUAAUAUCAAAUAAAAAAUAAUAAACAUAACAAAUAUCAAAACUAUGAAAUAAAAAAAUUAUAAUAUGAAAUUACAAAUUAAUUUCAAAUUAAAUACAAAAAGUUCAUUCUUCUAACGCAUCAUUAAUCUCCAAUCUUCUAACACAUCAUUAAUCUCCAACUAGAUCAUCAUCAUUAAUCUGCAAAUUCAAUCAAAACACAGAUAAUAUUAAAUGCACAAUGAGCCAAAUGAAAAAUGAAAGAAGCUUAAUAGUGUAAGUUCAGCCAGUUGUGACAGUUACCUGCGGAUAUGAUGAGUGCUUGACCAGUAUAAUUCAGGUUUGCCUUUGUCCAAGGAAUUUUUCAAACUGCAACCAACUGAUAACAAAAAGUAAAUGAGAAAAUGACAGAAAAAAGCCAGACCUGCCAUUUGAUGCAUGAAUAGAGCAGAUAUGAACUAAACAGGAAAUUCUGAAACCAUAUAAUUUGCCACCAUGGCCAUAACAAAUGAAAUAUCUUUGGCAGCCGGAUAGAUUUUCAAAUCAAGUGAAACUUAAGAUGAAUAACACAGGACAGAAGAUUAGGUAAUAGAAGACAGGGCCACAGAACAGAACACCAGGGAUCUGUAACAUUGAGGUCCUUUCCUAAAAAUAUACUCUUCAAUUAGGCACAACAAUAAGCAUCAAGCACAUACCAAAAAAAGAAAAAUAAACACUAUUCAGAACAUGGUUGGGUCUCCUCUUCAUCAUCAUUAUCAGUCACUUCUCCAUUUAUUUCUUCCCCAUUCAUCACUUUAUCUUUAGGAAUCUCACCUAAUUUAAAAAAAAAAAAACUUGUAAAAUAUAAAAAAAAAAACAAAUACUAUCAAAAUCAAAUAAGUGCAUAAGUGAGCUGAAUUUGAUACCUUUUAAUUGAGCCCAUAUCCAAUUCUGAGUACACAUUAAGGCCUCUACUGUACUCGGAUGAAGUCUACUACGAUGUGGGCUUUAUCAAAUGCAUCUUUUUUCUUGUAGACCUUAGAUGCUUGACUAGGGCUAGAAGCUGGAGCUGGAGCUGAUUCUUGUAUCUGUUUGGGACACCUAUCAAUAUGGUUUAACAAAUGUGAAGUUCCACUUGAUUGCUGUCCAGCAAAACCUUUGCCACAAUGAUUACACACUGCCUUCAUUUCUCCAUUAAUUGUUCUCCUUGUGAAAUGGUCCCAAGCUCUAGAUGCUUGUCUCAAUGAGCUUCUAGGUUGUCCUUCCGAGUCUCGUUUUGUACCUCCACUAAUUGAAUGAGUUUGUGGAUUUUCAGCAUUAACAUUACUUGAGGCUUGAGGGUUUAAUUGAACAGCAGGAUCAGAAUCAAAAUCAGACAUAAUUAACCUGAAAAAAGACAUUACAGAGCAAUUAUUAACAAUCCCUAAACUUCCAGAACUAGCUAGCUCGUUUGUUUGGAAGUAGUAGUAGUGCUUAACAUGAACCAUAUAGAGAUCAAUUAGAUGAUAAUCUAACUUCCAGCAUCCGUCAAUAUUUUAUUUCACAAUGGGAGGGCCACAUUUCCACAAAUGGCAACACCCAAUAGCAAAUGGAGCCUCAACUGAUUUCGGCCUCUAGAAGCUGAAAAAGUUUUGUUGGAAAAUUCGACUAUCAGAUUUCAAAUGAUUAUGUGAAAGGCCAUAUAUUAUAUAUACUAGCAGAUUCUUUGAAGAAAGUAACCACUGCAUAUUGAAACUCUUCCAAUUCCUCUCUCUCUCUCUCUCUCUCUGUACACACACACACACACACACACACAGAGCCAUGUAAACAAAAAUAAGAAAAAUAAUGGAAGCCAUAAAGGCAUAAGAUUUUAGGCUUGUAAAAGCUUAUUUCAUGUUUAAUCAUGGAGCCAAAUUCAUAAACUAAAUUAAACCCCAUCCAGCAAUUAAUCAAAAUCUAGAUUUGUGACUGACAAAAGGUGAAGAAAAUAUUUGCAUAAUUUUAGUAAAAUCACCAGAAAUACGGUGAAAAUGCUGGGUACUGUGAAGAUCAAUCAAAGCCAAAUAUAUAUUAAACGGCUUAUAAGCUUCAGCAAUCAAAACUUACCUUGCGCGGGAGACAACGAACAGGCGGACGGACGACGGUGGUGGCAGCGACGACAGAGACGAUGGUAGCUGGAACGAGGCAGAAAAACGCUCAAGAACAGCUGGAAGCUGCAGUUACGGCUGAUCAACCAUUGGUACAGCGCCGGCACACCUAAACGGAACCCCCGGAAAGCGGCGUCGGAGUCGGGGAAGAGCGUCGGUAAGCAAAGACCGGCCGGCGAGCGAUGUGAUAAUCUUAGGUUUUGCUAUCCAGACAUUUGUUUUUGCUUAUUUCAUUUUAGUUUUACGAUUUUAAUUUUUUAAUUUCAAAUAAGAUAUUAAUUGGAUAUUGGGUAUCCAUUGGAUAUCCAUACCCAUCCAAUUUUUAUUUGGAUAUUUUUUUAAAAUAUCCAUAUUCAUAUCCAAAAAAUUUUGGAUGGAUAUUAUCCAAUCCAAUUGGAUUGGAUGUAUGGAUAUCCAAUUUAAAUGGACCAAAUUGCCAUCCCUACUCGCAGCUCCGCCAAAUUCUGGCGUGAAGGCUUAUCACCUUCCUCUUUAAUGCAGCUUUGCAGCCCACAUCAGUCGCCAGUUGGAGUCAAAUUAAUGAAAAAUUUAGGGUCGUGUAAUUGGUCUCAUGCAUCCACAAAUUUGAUAAAUUUUAACUCACAAUGGGUAUAAACUUAUGGUGAUUUAAUAAGAAUGCAGUGAAGAAUUAAGAGAUAUUCAAGUGCCUGCAAUUGUGUUGGUUUCCCAAAUCCCAACCAAUCCAACAUUUCAGGAUAAGGCUUUUUGUUUAAAUUAAUAGCACAACGUUCCAGAGGGAUAAUCCAAAUUCUUGUUGCGUUCUCUCAACUCUCAAUUCUCAUGAUAUUAGUUAAAGCUUCGUAAAGAACAUUUCGCAGCCUUAGAUGGAGGAAUCUGAAGCAGAGAUGGCGUCAUUGCCCAAAGAUUAAGGCUUUGAAUUAACUCUUUCCUGGCAUGUUUCUUUGAUUCAUGAGGAUUUACAUUUUCUUUUCUUUUUUUCACAAUACAUUAAUUAAAAAUUAUACAAGUGGAAGAAGGAAGCAAGUAAAGUAAAUCAAACAUUGAACAUGACAAGGCACAAGAAGCAAGCGAGUCUCAGGUAUCAAGCUUUCCUAGGCGACAACCAAGUUCAACAAAGCAAAGGUGAAGCAAGGCAAACAAGAAUUCAAGCCGCACGUCAUAGAUCACGAAAGUGAAGACUCACCAAGCUUCAACACAGUGAACAAAUCAAGGCUGCUUAUUCUGUAUUUGAUGGCUCUCUCUGUGAUUUUUUUAUUCUGCUUUCAUUUAAUUAUUUUGUUAAUUCCUUUGUUUCUUGAUUAAAUAUCAAACAGUUAAGUGAGGUCCUGGAGGAUCAUGAUCGGUCAUCUAACACUCUCAAACACGAGUUCUUGAUCUAACUUCCACAAACCUGCGAAGUAUUUUGACUUUAGUUGGCAAAUGAAAACAAGGGUUUUAACAUCAAAGGAAAUGGUACCAAGGAAGAUGGCCAAUUCGGGAAUUAAGAUCACAAAGGAAGCAGAGGAGCUCUGUCGUUGGUCCCUGCAGUAUGCAAGUGAUUUUGAUCCUAAUCUCUCAACUUCACAUCUAUUAUUGCUGGCCUAUCUUCUUCCGACACAGAGAGACAUUUCAAGGCAAGUUCUACAAGAAUUUGCAAUUGCUUCGAUUUUCCUUGACCCGGUUGAAUUCCAACGACAAUGGGGUCUAUUAUCUCAACAAACCUAUUAUUAUCAAUAUGUUUCUUGACCCAAUCCUUAAAUAAAGUUUCAUCAAGACAACAUUGAAAAUCAUAUAUCUUCUUGCCAGUCAAAAGCUCAAGCAGCAAGGCAGCAAAGCUAUUAUUUUUCUCUGAAUGCUCCAUGAGAAUGGUAUUUAUGUUAUGAUUCAACCUAAACCUGAUAAGAUAUUGUCUGUUUUAAGCCUUAACAAGGCCACAUGGUUUUGUUUCAAGGACACCAAUACAUCCCGAAACUCAUCUUAUCAAUAAAAGUGUGGAUUACCUCUUAUAAACUCAACAUCUCUCUUGUACUUCGUCAAUGUGAGAUUUGCCUAGGCUGUUACAAUUUAAGUGCCAUAAAUCCAAAUUUGGCGAUUGUGUGAAGUACUCUUAUGCGUAUUUUAACAUCAGAAACAAAAAUUGGUGACAAGGAGGUAUUACAUGCGUUAUCAUUAAAUUAAUAUACGCACUAAUCUCAAAGUAUGUGUUAUAUACAUGUUCUUAAUGUGGCUCACAUUCAUGAGUUUGAGAUGAAUUAAGACUCAUGAGUUUGAGAUGAAUUAAGACUACUCACAUUUUUUUGAUUAGAUAAUGAUAAAGAGUAGUUGCUCCAUAUUUCUAAAAAAUUAAGAUGAGGAUAAUUUCUCAUUUUCUUGAUGGAGGGUGUUGAUGCGAGAUUCCGGUUCUCCUCGUUCUACGACCAGGAUCUCUGCUCGAUCAACUUCACCACGACCAGAAGGUCUCCCAGUAAUGCUUCCUCUCCAGAUGUCCCUGCACAAACAGACAAGUCAGAGUACGCCGGUUGUUCUCCCGGCGCAAACCCUCCGACGCUCAAGUCAGAUAUCAAGGUUCAGGGAACGCUUGCCACAGGUCUUAUGGCUUUUUCGUGGUUUUUCUCUUUAAUCUAAAAAAUGCCAACCUUUUUACCUUCGUUGGCUACCUUUUUAUAGGCUUCCUCUGAAUCUCAGUCUUCCGCUCUUUUCGAGACGGUAUGGGACUCUAACUGCUGCGUUAUGGGCAAACGUGGGGUCUAGCGUGUUACGCCACGGUUCAGGGGAAAGCGUGGCUGUCAUGGCUCUGUGGGACCUUGCGUGUUACGCCACGGUUCUGGGGAAAGCGUGGCUGUCAUGGUUCUGUGAGAUCUUGCGUGUUACGCCACGGUUCUGGGGAAAGCGUGGCUGUUGUGCCUAGAUUUUCGUGCUGGAGAGCAUGUCUUGCCAACUGCCGUCGACCGGGUCUCCUCGCCUCUCGACCUCUAGCCGGAAUGGCCUUAUGCCUCUUAUAGGAAAUUAGCCUCACGGAUGACAACAUCGUGGACGAGCAGGAUAUUUCUGCUCCUGUUCUUCCGCGCACCAGGCUUUUACGGAACACACCGGUUCGCAGAACUCCGCCAUCAGAUAUCUGCUCGUCAUUCCUGGUCUCGUCAACGUAUUUAUCCCAAACAGUAUCUCUCCCAAACACCGGUCCCCCAGUUUCUGGUGUUGGGUAAUAUAGUGGACCAGCAGUAGAAACUCGAUAGUACUCGCUCGCGUGGGAUUGGAAAAGGCUGCCAAGAGUCAUGUCGCAUUUAAUUGCGGACGAGGUGACGUGGCAGAAAUCCCCCCCUCCAUUUGAAUUUCAAACCGACGGUCAUGAGAUCCUCGGGAUUCGGCGCAGUUAUAUGCUGGCGACCCAAGAGUCCGUCCUCAUUUGGAAAGCCAAAUUCUCUCGAACGGCAUAUUCACCACUCACUCCGUCUCCGUCUCUGUUUCUCCGGCAAAGAAGUUCCGGCACAAAGCCCCCCAUCCUUGCCUUUCUCCGAUUGGAGCAGUACUUCAGGUAUUACUUCUCUCUCCUCGGUCUCGGAUAGUUUGUAGAUAACUUCUUUUUCUUUCGUUUGGGUAGUAGUUAGUGGCGUUGUGGUUAGAGUUUAGGGAAUGUCGAAAGGCAAAGAGAAGGUUAUUGUGGUUGAUGACGACGAGUUGGACUUCUUGCCUAGUCUGCUCACCGAUCCUGCCUUUGACCCCGAGGUCCCCUUAGAGCCUAUUAGGUCUAGUGUCAGGACUAGUGCUAGGAGGAUGUCUCCCCAAACGACCUCUACGAGCGGAAGUAAUGGCGAGGAGAGAUCUUCUGACUCCGAGGACACUUUGAGUGAGGGUCGAGGAGAUGAUUCUGGUGAGGCGUCCCCAUCAGGAGCGCCGCGACCGGAAGGGAGGAGUAGAAUAGGAGGUAGAGCCCUAUCGCGGGAUUACGCUAUUGAUUACAUGACGUGCACGACCACGUUUGAUGAGCUCGAGGACCUCCGGCUGAGGUAUAGCAUUCCUGGUGAAAUACUUCUCAAGGUCCCAGGAAAGAAGGAUGCUCCCAGCCGCCCUCCUAGGGGAUAUGUUACCCUGUAUCUGGACAGCUUUAAGUACGGGCUGAGGUGUCCCUUGCAACCUUACUUUGCCCGGAUACUUAACGGGCUAAAUCUAGCUCCUGGUCAGCUGAAUCCCAAUGGGUGGAAAGUGCUCUCUGGUCUGUUCAUUUUGUGGGACAGAUGUUGCCAAAGCGAGCCCACGGUUGAUGAGGUGAAGCACCUGUACCAGCUAAAGAGCAGCCCCAAAGAUGCCGGCUGGUACUACUUCCAAUCUAGCACCAAGAGCAGGAAACCUAUAACCGACCUCCCUACUGGUGGUGGCGGGAAUUGGAAGAGAAAGUUCUUUUUUGCUGGGGGUCCUUGGGGUCAGGUCGCACAAGUGGACGGGAAGGAUUAUCGGGUCCCACCCCGUUUCACGGUCCCAGGUUGCCUGCUCGCUUCAGAUGCCUUGUAUCCAUACUUGUUCUUGUUUUAUUGGCUUGUUUCUAACCAAGUGUCUUGUUUGUGUUGUAGUUUCUUGGGGUGUUCACUUCCCGCUCGAACCUGACCAGCUCAAACGGGUCGAGGCGGUACUGGCCAAUUCCUGCUCGAGCCGAGAACUGUUAAGUACAUACAACUUGCUCGAGUCUCGCUUGAUACUUCCUGGCCAUAGGAUGGAGGACGCUGUGAUUGGGGCUUUGACCCGAAAACGUUCUCGACCUCCAACCACGAAGAGGGACGAGAGUAAGGAUGCCCCUACUGCAAAGCGGGCCAACAUCGUGCAGCAGGCCCCACCCUUGAAGAUUUUACCUCCUGCUCCUGUAAAAGUUGGGGAACCUAGUGGAGCAGCCACAGAUCCCGCUACCUCUUCUCCUCCUGUCGGGCCUCGGUCUCGCUUACCUGACAGCCGAGCAGAACAUCUGGUCCCUUACCUCAAUGAGUUAGUUAAACUGGUGAGCAAGGAGGAGCUGGAGGACUUUGAUGGCCGCACCUUGGGUGAGCUGGUGGGGGCCAUUCAGCAUAGCGCCUUCCACCUCAGCUGCAUGACCACCUACUACAAGGCUAAGGUGGGCCGCUACGACCGGAAGAUGAAGGGGGAUAUUCAGUCGGCGACGACCAGAGCUGACGUUGCCGAGAAGAAAGCAGGGGAGCUGAAUCUCGAGAACCUGAAGCUGAUAGAGCAAGAAUCACUUGCUCAGGCAAAAGCCAUUACCCUCGAGGAGGAGCUUACCAAGGUCAAGGAGGAUCUGCAAAGGCAGAAGGCAAUGUAUGAGGCUCAGCUCGAAUCUCUCCGCGACUCCCACCGAGCUCAGGUCGAGAACUUGGAGAGGGAGGCCGACAACCAGUACGACCAGGGACUUCGGCAUUCCUAUCGUUGCAUCAUGGCCGUCCUCGGGAAGCAACACCCUGACCUGAAGAUGGAUGACCUUGCAGCUGGUGUUGCUCAGCAUAUGGAUGAGGAGGCGGCCAAGGAAGAUGCCGAGGGGGUAGAGCCGAUCGCGAUCGAGGAGGAAAGUUCUCCUCGUGCAGUCCCUGCUGAUGUUGGCGAGGCGAGCACCCCCCCGGACGCAACUGGUGAUACCCCCCCUGCACCCGAGGAGGUCCAGCCAACCGAUGCUGCUCGGCUCACUGAUCCACCAUCUUUUUGAUGUAUUUCUUUUUGUGUUGUAAUGAACAACGUUUAUGAAAUUUAUCCCCUCUGUUAGCCAUUAACACAUUAAUAAAAAUGUUGUUGUUGAUUACUUUCUUGUGUUGUAAUUACGAAUUAUUUUUCGUCUGAAACCCUGCUCGCUUUUGUCUGAUUGAGCAGGAUCUGGCUUGGCGUAUGGUUUUGCCUAUUCUUAAAAUUUUUUUUUUUUUUUUUUUGCUUGGGGGGAUCUGCUCGUCUUCGCGUGGUCGAGCGGGUCCUGGCACGCUUGGCUUCAGUCUUGCCAUAAACAGGCUUUGACUUGGUGAGGCCUUUGCGGGCCUUAGAAAACUUUUCCGAAUACUUUGGAGUCUGCUCGUCUUCUCAUGAUCGAGCUGAUCCUGGCAUGUUUGGCUUUUGUCUCGCCAUAAAACAGGCUUUGAGACUUGACGAGCCUUUGCGUGCCUUUGGAAUUUCUUCAAACGAUUUGGAUUCUGCUGCCUUCUCGUGGCCGAGCAGAUCCUGGCAUGCUUGGCUCCUGUCUCGCCAUAAGACAGGCUCUGAGACUUGGCGAGCCUUUGCAUGCCUUAGGAAUUUCUUCAAACGAUUUGGAUUCUGCUGCCUUCUCGUGGCCGAGCAGAUCCUGGCAUGCUUGGCUUCUGUCUCGCCAUAAGACAGGCUCUGAGACUUGACGAGCCUUUGCAUGCCUUAGGAAUUUCUUCAAACGAUUUGGAUUCUGCUGCCUUCUCGUGGCCGAGCAGAUCCUGGCAUGCUUGGCUUCUGUCUCGCCAUAAGACAGGCUCUGAGACUUGGCGAGCCUUUGCAUGCCUUAGGAAUUUCUUCAAACGAUUUGGAUUCUGCUGCCUUCUCGUGGCCGAGCAGAUCCUGGCAUGCUUGGCUUCUGUCUCGCCAUAAGACAGGCUCUGAGACUUGACGAGCCUUUGCAUGCCUUUGGAAUUUCUUCAAACGAUUUGGAUUCUGCUGCCUUCUCGUAGCCGAGCAGAUCCUGGCAUGCUUGGCUUCUGUCUCGCCAUAAGACAGGCUCUGAGACUUGACGAGCCUUUGCAUGCCUUUGGAAUUUCUUCAAACGAUUUGGAUUCUGCUGCCUUCUCGUGGCCGAGCAGAUCCUGGCAUGCUUGGCUUCUGUCUCGCCAUAAGACAGGCUCUGAGACUUGACGAGCCUUUGCAUGCCUUUGGAAUUUCUUCAAACGAUUUGGAUUCUGUUGCCUUCUCGUGGCCGAGUAGAUCCUGGCAUGCUUGGCUUCUGUCUCGCCAUAAGACAGGCUCUGAGACUUGACGAGCCUUUGCAUGCCUUAGGAAUUUCUUCAAACGAUUUGGAUUUUGCUGCCUUCUCGUGGCCGAGCAGAUCCUGGCAUGCUUGGCUUCUGUCUCGCCAUAAGACAGGCUCUGAGACUUGACGAGCCUUUGCAUGCCUUAGGAAUUUUUUCGGUUUCAAGCGAAUGAAAUUCGUUGACGUUCCAUUAAUGGCAGGAUCUGACUUACAUGAAAUUGUUCGGACAUAAAGCGUGAAAAAUAAACGAUAAUAAACAUGAGCAAAAAUAGCUUUCAAAUGUGAACAAGUCUUACUGGAAGUAUUUCCGGAGGUGUGCUGCGUUCCAUGGGCGUUUCACUUCGUGGCCAUCCGCGCGAACCAGCUUGUAAGCUCCGGACCCCGCUAUCUGCUUGACUCUAUACGGCCCUUCCCAAUUCGGUCCCAGCACUCCUUGAGUCGAGUCUUUGGUGCUCUGAUUCACUCUUCUCAGUACCCAGUCUCCGACCUUGAAUUGCCGUAUGUUCACCUUCUGGUUAUAAUACCGAGCAACCCUCUGUUGGUAAGUGACUGAUUGCUCGGCUGCUUGCUCCCUCCUUUCCGUUAGCAGGUCAAGAUUCAAACAUAUCUGCUCGUCGUUAUCGCGCUCGUUGAAAUGAUCUGUCCGGUGUGUGGUCGUUCCUAUCUCAGCCGGCACGACCGCUUCAUGUCCGAAAGCCAAAGCGAACGGUGUCUCCCCAGUUGCGGUUUUGUGGGUCGUUCUGUAUGCCCAUAACACACCUGACAGCUCGUCAACCCAAGCACCCUUUUUUGCUCCGAGUCUGGUUUUCAGAAGCCUCUUGAUGGUCUUGUUGGCUGCUUCUACUUGUCCAUUCGAUUGAGGGUGAGCAGGCGAGCAAUACUUCAGCUCUAUCCCGAGGUUCUGGCAGAAAUCCCUGAAGCUGUGAUUAUCGAACUGCCUGCCAUUAUCCGUUACCAAGGCAUAUGGGAUCCCGUACCGACAGACCAGGUUUCUCCACACGAAGUCUGUUGUUUUCUUCUCUGUGAUCCUGCUAAGGGCUUCUACCUCUAUCCACUUUGUGAAGUAAUCUAUAGCAACUAUUGCAUGUGUUGCUGCUCCUCGUCCCUUUGGCAAUGGGCCGAUCAAAUCAAUUCCCCAUUGAGCGAAUGGCCAAGGGGAGGCCAUGGAGGUAAGCUUCUCUGGUGGUUGGUUAGAGAAAUUUGCAAAACUCUGGCAGCUUGCACAGCUCCUGGUCUUCCUCUGCGCAUCCUGGUGCAUCGUCGGCCAGAAAUAUCCCUGCCUUAGAACCUUGUGGGCCAGGGACCUCCCGCCAGAAUGAUUUCCGCAAAUUCCUUCAUGUACUUCCCUCAGCACGUAAUCCGCGUCGUCAUCGUCCAAACACCGAAGGAACGGUAAUGUAUAUCCUCGCCGAUACAGUACCCCAUCGAUCAUCGUGUAUCUCGAGGCCUGAGCUCUAAUCUUCCGAGCUCGCAGCUUAUCUGGUGGUAAGACCCCGUCUCUAAGGUAUGAAACUAUCGGGUCCCUCCACGAGCCUUUUUGUUCUAUCCGCAACACCCCCAAAUUCUGCUCGAUACUUGGGCUGGACUUCACCUCCAGAGGGACAGACUUUGGCAUUUUCGGGUCGGCUACUGCUGCCAUCCUAGCCAAAAUGUCUGCUCGACUAUUCUGCUCCCUGGGGAUUUGUAUCACCUCAACUGCUUCGAACUUCCCCAUCAUCUGUCUGACUAUCUUCAGGUACUGCUCCAUCUUCUCCUCUCUUGGUUGGAAUCUUUCACUGACAUGAUUCGCAACCAGCUGGGAAUCCGUUCGGAUCCUAACUCUGUCUGCUUUUACGGCCUUAGCCAAUUCCAGACCUGCUAUCAAGGCUUCAUACUCUGCUUGGUUAUUGGUGGCUGCAAAUUCCAAUUUUAUAGCAUAAGAGAUCUCCUCCCCCUCUAGGCCUUCCAAGACAAUCCCUGCUCCUGAACCCCGCUCCCCUGAUGACCCAUCCACGGAUAUCUGCCAUACUUGAGUUUCGUCGUUGCCUAUAACUGCAUCUUGUUGAUCUAAGCAUACUUCGGGCUCUGCGAACUCAGCUACGAAAUCGGCCAUUGCCUGGGCCUUUAUCGCUGCGCGGGGUUUAUAGUCUAUAUCGAACUCGCUCAGCUCUACAGCCCACUUGACGAGCCGACCAGAGGCAUCUGGCUUGUGCAGAAUUUGACGCAAUGGCUGGUUGGUUAUUACCGAGACCGGGAAUGCUUGAAAGUAUGGCCUCAACUUCCGAGCAGCAACCACAAGGGCGAGUGCCCAUUUCUCCAACGGUGGGUAUCUGGUCUCAGUGUCGAGCAGGGCCUUGCUGGUGUAGUAUAUCGGAUACUGAACUCCUUCUUCCUCUCUCACCAGAACGGAACUGGCGGCCCGAUCCGAUACCGCCAAAUACAGAUUCAACUUGUCCCCUUCCCUCGGUGUGGACAGUAGCGGAGCCUGCUGCAAGUAUUGCUUCAAGUUCCGGAAGGCUUCCUCGCAUUCUGGGGUCCAUUCCGUUUUCUUUCCCCUCCUUAUCACUUGGAAGAAUGGCUGACACUUAUCUGUAGCCUUGGAUAUGAAUCUGCUCAACGCCGCCAACCUCCCCGUGAGGCUCUGCAUCUCCUUCAGGUUUCGAGGAGACGUCAUUUGCACAAUCGCCUGGAUCUUCUCGGGAUUUGCUUCAAUCCCCCUAUGGCUCACCAUGAAUCCCAGGAAUUUCCCUGACUCGACCCCAAAAGCAUACUUCUCCGGGUUGAGCUUCAUCUUAUACUUCCUCAAAAGCUCGAACGUCUCCUCGAGAUGUCUGACAUGUUCCUUCGGGAUUUUGGACUUGGUGAUCAUGUCGUCCACGUACACCUCCAUGGUUUUCCCGAUCAAGGGCUUAAAGACUUUAUUCACCAGCCUUUGAUAAGUGGCCCCAGCAUUCUUGAGACCGAAUGGCAUCACCCUGUAACAGAACAAACCUUGGUUAGUGAUGAAAGCCGUGCUCUCCUCAUCCGGCUCGUACAUGGGGAUCUGGUUGUAUCCCGAGAAUGCGUCCAUGAAGCUAAGCAGACCAUGUCCAGCCGUUGAAUCUACUAGCUGAUCGAUCUUUGGUAAAGGGAAGCUGUCUUUUAGGCACGCCUUAUUGAGGUCCGUGAAAUCCACACACAUCCUCCACUUGCCGUUUGCCUUCUUUACCAACACCACAUUUGAUAUCCACUCUGGGUAAUUGACUUCCCGAAUGGACCCUACUCUCAGAAGCUUCUCCACCUCAUCAUUUACAGCCUCAUACCUCUCCUGGUUGAAGCACCUCCUCUUCUGCCUUACUGCCCGAGCACCUUUCUUUAUUGCCAGCUUAUGACAUGCUACCUCUAGGUCAAUCCCUGGCAUGUCUUCAUGUGUCCAGACAAACACGUCAGCAUGAGCCUGUAAGCAUUUCACCAACUCCUGCUUUUGCUCUCCCUUAAGUCUCGACCCGAUUCUGAUCGUCUUUCCCGGGUUCUCUGGUCCCAUGCUUACUGUUUCCAGAUCCUCUACGGGUUCUUGUCUGCCAGUCUUGUUUUCUACUCGGGUAUCGAGGGAUGUUAUCUGCAUUGCCUCCCUUGCUGCCGAGGAGUAGCAGCUUCUUGCGAUCCUCUGGUCUCCUCGUACCACUCCGACUACCCCAUUCACCCGAUAGUUCAGAGCCAGAUAGUGGUUGGACAACACCGCUUUGCUCAUCCUUAAAAAUGGCCGACCUAGGAUCAUUUGGUAAGGACCUUCCUCAUCCACUACGACGAAGUCCAGUAUCAUUGUUCUUUCUGUCGGGGGGCUCCCAAUUGUGAUAGGCAGUUCGACCACGCCCAGAGGGACCAGCUUCCCUCCUCCGAACCCCUUCAAGGAGGUGUUGGUGUAUUCCAGCUUCCGGUCGGCUAUUCCCAUCUCUUCCAGGGUUGACUUAAAUAACACAUCAACUGAGCUCCCUGUAUCAAUCAGUAUCCGGUCAAACUUCUUGCUAGCGAUAGUAGCCUUGAUGACUAAGGCAUCCUCGUGGGGGUAUAGAAUCCCUUCCUCAUCCUGCUCCGUCCACAUGAUUGGCACUUGCCUGACCCUUGCUCGUUUAGCUGCUGGGGUGUUGAGGAGUACCUCUUUGCUGGUCAUGGCGUACCUAGCAUAAUUCUUCCUCGAUCUGUUCGAAUCUCCGGCCAACGUUGGGCCCCCAGCUAUCACCCUUACUGCGGGCUGCUCGCGUCUCAUGGUUCUAUCACUCUGCUCCCCUUCAUCUGUUGUGGCCACCAUCGGAAAAGUCCCAUCCAUAAACUCGUCCAGGUACCGAUUUCUCACCAGAUCUUCGACCUGGGUCUUGAGAUCUCUACACUCUGCUGUGGUAUGGCCAUGGGUGCCAUGGAACUUACAAUAACGUCCUCUAUCCCUUCUGUUGGGCAGCUUUGUUAUUGGUGUAGGGAGGUGCAGCAGCCCUCGAUCCUUUAUGGCCUCGUACACCUCAUCCAGGGGCAUCCUCAGGGGAGUGUACCGCCCAUAGUCCUGGUUCUGGUCGACCAGAUGCACUGCUCUUUCUCUGUUUGCCCCACUGUGAGUUGGGGGCGGUGGAAGUGCUUCUGGUCUGCUCGCCCUGUUACCGUGGGAAUGUUGAUGAAGACCACCGGAUGCCGAAUCAUGCCUUCUCCAAGGCUCCCUAGCUGGGGAACGAGGAGGUGGCGCCUUGCUGCGCUGAUACUGUGGCGGCCUCUGAUGAGGCUGGUAAGCAAUCACCCUACCUCCUGAUCCAUUACCGGAGACUUGGUGGUCCCUCCUCCUGACCGGCCCAUUCCCUAGUAAUGCUUUCUUCUCUUUCCUCCCUAAUCCUUCCAACUGGUCUGUCUUGAUCCGUGCAGCCUUCUCCUCCUCAAUCUCGAUGUCUCUUUUAGCCUGUUCGUAUGCGGCUGCAUACGUUUGAAUAGCUGGGCUUCUCAAAUUGUACCACAGCCUUCCUAUCUUCACCCCUUCUUUCAAUCCCCUUAACGCCUGAGGGUGGUUGAAGGCUCCCAAGUCGAGGACAGCCCGAUGAAACCUCUUGAUGAAUUCCCAAAGGGUUUCUUGCUCCCCCUGUUUCAUGCUUUUCAGCUCCAUCAUGUCAUCUUCCGGUGACAUUGCCCCACUAAACUGCUCUGCGAAUUCCUGGCACAUCUGCUCGAAGGUUUUAAUGCUGCCCCGAGGAAGUUUCCUGUACCAUUCUCGUGCACGUCCCUCAAGGGAUAGUGGGAACACCCUGCACCUUUGGGAUGGAGAUAAUCCCUGUACCCCCGUCAUGUCGUUGAAGCGCUCUAUGUGCAUCAGCGGGUCAGUUCUUCCCGAGUAUCUGAGGUCGGGGAGGCGAAAAUCUCUCGGAAUAACUGCCCUCAUGAUCUCUGCUGCGAGCGGUGAUUCUCCGUCCAGCAUUAUCCUCCAACCAGGGGCUCUGUUCCUCCCUUGCAUGUCGUCAAUUAUUUGCGCUAGCCUUCGCACUUCCUCCUCCAGCUGCCCUGCACGACCAGGGUCACGUGCUGCAACUUGAUCCCGCUCUCGCUCUACAUCAUGCAAGUGUUGCCUUAGCUCUGUUUCCUCUGCAUUCACCACCCCGUCGCCCUCGUCACAAGUCUGUCUUGCCGGGGACUGCUCUCUUUCUCUAUGAAAUUCACCCCGCAGGGGUACGUUACCUCUCUCACCACCAAAUCUCCCUGCGGUUUGACUUCUCCCCGCACUAUCGGGACCUGGUGCCGCUCCACCGCCUCUAACCCUUCCCUUUUGGGUUACCCUUCGCUCGUUCCGCAGCUCAUGCAGGAUGGUUGUGAAGGUCUCCAUCUGCUUUUCCAUUCGUUCCAUCCGGUCGAACAUGACUUUUUCCCGUGCUUCGCUGAUUACCUCCCUCAGCGUCACGGAAUCGUUAAGCCUCAUGUCACCCCCUUGUGCGCUACUUCCUCCUAUCUCCAUUGCUUUUCGCUUACUCCACCCCUCUUCUUGCUAUCGACAGAAGCUUUUUGCUCUGAUUUCCCACAGACGGCGCCAAAAUGUUGAUGCGAGAUUCCGGUUCUCCUCGUUCUACGACCAGGAUCUCUGCUCGAUCAACUUCACCACGACCAGAAGGUCUCCCAGUAAUGCUUCCUCUCCAGAUGUCCCUGCACAAACAGACAAGUCAGAGUACGCCGGUUGUUCUCCCGGCGCAAACCCUCCGACGCUCAAGUCAGAUAUCAAGGUUCAGGGAACGCUUGCCACAGGUCUUAUGGCUUUUUCGUGGUUUUUCUCUUUAAUCUCAAAAAUGCCAACCUUUUUACCUUCGUUGGCUACCUUUUUAUAGGCUUCCUCUGAAUCUCAGUCUUCCGCUCUUUUCGAGACGGUAUGGGACUCUAACUGCUGCGUUAUGGGCAAACGUGGGGUCUAGCGUGUUACGCCACGGUUCAGGGGAAAGCGUGGCUGUCAUGGCUCUGUGGGACCUUGCGUGUUACGCCACGGUUCUGGGGAAAGCGUGGCUGUCAUGGUUCUGUGAGAUCUUGCGUGUUACGCCACGGUUCUGGGGAAAGCGUGGCUGUUGUGCCUAGAUUUUCGUGCUGGAGAGCAUGUCUUGCCAACUGCCGUCGACCGGGUCUCCUCGCCUCUCGACCUCUAGCCGGAAUGGCCUUAUGCCUCUUAUAGGAAAUUAGCCUCACGGAUGACAACAUCGUGGACGAGCAGGAUAUUUCUGCUCCUGUUCUUCCGCGCACCAGGCUUUUACGGAACACACCGGUUCGCAGAACUCCGCCAUCAGAUAUCUGCUCGUCAUUCCUGGUCUCGUCAACGUAUUUAUCCCAAACAGUAUCUCUCCCAAACAGAGGGAAGUGAAUGAAGUCCAUUAAAUAGACUAAGGGUCCUUAGCCUAACCUAGAUACGACUUUCCAUGAGAAUUACCAAUUGAAUUAAAGGCUAUAUAGAGGAAUAGACUAGAAAAUUCUAACCAUUUUUUAAAUUAACUUAAAUAAUAAUGACUGGAGGUAGAGGUACGUAAUUUAUUUAAGUUUAUAAUCUAAACUAUAUUUGGAAAAAUACUCUUUUCAUCUCUAAGGUUUGAUGCAAUAGCCUGUUUCAUCCUUACUAUUUAAAUAAUAUCCUAUUUCAUUCCUAUUUUUUAAGCAAUAGCCUGAAACACCCUUUCAUUAGCUUAUUCUUAACUUAACUUCAACAUGGUCGAAAUAAAUAAAUAAAUGAUCAAUUAGUAUUGUUAUUCUACCAAACGUAAUUACAGACUCCUUUGUUUACUUAAAAAAAAUACACACUAAAUACAUAACAAAAUACAUUUAAAAAUAUUGCAGAAUAAAAUAUAUAAUGCAUUGGAAUUUUUUUUUUAUCUUUUAGCUUAUUCUUGACCUUAAUAAAAACAAUGAUUCUUGAUGAAAAUUAUUAUUAUUAUUAUUAUUAUUAUUUUGUUGACUUUUAUUAAAAAAAAGAAUUUAAUGAACACACAUAUAUGUGUGUGUGUGUGUGUGUGUUGCAUAUUCUUUAGUUUCAUUAAGUUAUACUUAAAUUUUAAAUUUUAAAUUUAUGCAAAAAAAAGUCAAAUGUUAUUCAAUUAUUCUUGAGAUAUUUAUUUUAAAAAGCUUUAUAUAUUUAUUUAACUAAAAAUCCUAUUUUGCUCUCAAUGAAUUAUAGAGUAAACUAUUAUAAAUUCACGGAAGGGUAUUUUGAGCUAUUAUUUGAAAAAUAAGGAUGAAACGAGUUAUUUUUUAAAAAAUAAGGAUGAAAUGGGCUAUUGUACUAAACCCUAUAAAUGAAAAGAGCCUUUUCCCAAUAUAUUUCUAUAUAUAUUAUUAAUAUUAUUAUUAAGCUAACACAAGGAUGAUGUAAAGCAUAUGUACGUGCCUCUAGACAGCAAAUUCAGAGAAGCAUUAUUGCAAAGUCAACAGUUAACCGUUCAAAGUCAGCGGGACAAUUACGUUUGGCCCUUGCUUGGAAAUUUCUAAUUUCAAUGGCAACAAAGUCAGGGGAAAAUUAAUUGUUCAAAAUCAAUAUACAAACAUGGUGGCCCUUGCUAAGAAGAUAACAUGCACGAUAAGGAUAAACAAUUACCCUAAUCUUUCUUUUGUGGACGUGUUAAUAAAAUAAAGACAGAUUGUGAAAGAGGACGUAUCUACAGAUGGCCGAUUCAGAACUUAAUUAAGAUCAUUCGUUAUAUUUAUUUUUAAUUGAGACAGAGCCUCUCAUGUUGGCGUUAAUAUGUUAGAUAAGUAUGAAUCUGAUGCAUAAUAGUACUUUUGCAAUUUUGUUUAAUUAAUUCUUAAGUUGAAAUAUAAAACAAGUCUUCCCCAAUCAACCACGAAGAAUUAAUACGCAUUUACUUUUUUAAUCGGAAAUUUAAAAUUAGUCCGAAUUUGGUUGAAGUGUUAAUUGAUGGUUUGAAUACAAAUGUCUAUAUAUGAUUUGUUUUUUUUAAUAUCUAAAUAUAAUUGACAUUACAUUUGUUUUUAUAAAUAAAAAAAAUCUUAAAUACAGUUAUUUAACAUUUAUAUCCUUGUAAGUUAAAAUGAAUAAAGGGCUUAAGUUUUAUAGUUUAGCAAAUAAGUAUAUUUAAUAGAGAUGUUUUGAGAUAUAAUAUUUACUUCUUCGUGCCUUUUCUUAUUUAUAUAAAAGUCAUAAAAGUUUACUCUUUUUUUUAAAUUCAAAUGUAAAUGUUUAAAAAUCAUAUAUAAAUUAAAAAAACAAACGAGCAAUUUUAAAAAAAUUUGAAAUAAAAAAAAUUCAAAUUUUAGACUUUUAACCAAUAAGCCUCCAUUUCACCUUGGUAAAGAGAGUAGUUGGCUACCAUGAAAUUUCUGAUCCCUGUCCAGUAUGGGCGUGUCAUGAAUUAAGCCAAGCAUUUUAAUUUUUGCCUUAAAAAAAUUUCCAUUCUCUGCUCUAGAAAAUUGAAAAAAAAAAAAAGUAAAACAUAGUUCACGUUGGUAUUAUUAUUAUAGUAGCAUCAUAAACAUCUCAAUCGUAAACCAACACCAGUUUUAUUUUGUGUGUUUACCAUUUUUCCACGGCAAUGUUACAUGGAUGUUGAUUGUACGACUUUCUUUAUCCAUGCCUUGCAUUGUUGUGUGUUUGGGAUUCGUCGGAGACUUUUCUUGGCAUUAAUCAUCUCUCAAAUUUUCAUAUCCUAACACAUAAUCAACGCGCGGACUGAAGACUUUUCUUGGCUUCAAUAAUUGAUGCAGAUUAUACACAACAGUAUAAAUUGGCAUGGAGUCCAGGAGUUUCGAUAUAACAAUAUAUCCUCAAAGCUAAUGAUAAUUAUAAUGUCAUCCAAAUUGUUCCUUCUAUUUGAAAAUAUAGCUCUGUUUUCUGUGUUGUUUUUUCAAUUGAAGCCCACAAUUGCUGAUUCUAACAAAAAAACGAUAAAGUGCAUUGAUGAGGAGAGAGAAGCGCUUCGCACUUUUAAACAGAGCUUGGUGGAUGAACAUGGCGUUCUGUCUUCCUGGGGAAGACAAGAUGACAAAAUUGACUGCUGUAAAUGGAGAGGAGUCCGCUGUAGCAACACAACAGGCCAUAUCAAGGUGCUUAAUCUUCGAACAUCCGACAAGGAAAACGCUCAGAGGAAGGUCUUGAAAGGUACAAUUAGUCCUGCUUUGCUUGAAUUGCAUGAUAUAAGACAUUUGGACCUUAGUAACAAUCACUUCAGUGCAAGCCCAGUUCCUAAGUUCCUUGGUUCGCUCAGCAAAUUGAGGUACCUCAAUCUCUCUUGUGGCACACCUUCAGAAUUCCCUCGUAAAUUGCGGGACCUUUCAGGAUUGGAAUAUCUCAACCUAGAAAACUCUAGUUUAUUUAGUGUGGGAAGCUUAGAGUGGCUUUCUCGUCUUUAUUCUUUAAGACACCUUGACCUGAGUUACAUUAAUCUCACUAAAUCUAGUGAUUGGUUUCAAGUAGUUGCCAAGCUCCAUUCCCUAAAAACAUUAGUCCUACGCUCGUGUGCUCUUCCACCUAUCAAUCCAUCGUUUAUUUGGCACUUCAAUUUGAGUACGUCUAUUGAGAACCUUGAUCUUUCUGACAACAAUCUCCCUUCUUCUUCAGUAUACCCUUGGCUUUUCAAUCUUAGUAGGAAUAUUCUUUAUCUUGACCUUGGCUCUAAUUCAUUACGAGGUUCAAUUCCAGAGGCUUUUCAACACAUGGUUUCUCUUAAAAGUCUUGAUCUCUCUGAUAGUGAACUUGAAGGUGGGAUUCCAAAAUUCUUUGGAAACAUGUGUAGCUUACAAAAGUUAGACUUGCCUCAAAACAAACUCAGUGGACAAUUCUCGCAGGUAAUUCAACAUCUGUCUGGUGGAUGCGUGGUGAAUUCACUAGAGCGGCUAUAUUUAAGUUAUAAUGACUUCACGGGGCCAGUACCUCAUCUUGGAGGAUUUUCAUCACUGGAAGCACUGAUGCUUGGCGUUAAUCGUUUAAAUGGAACAAUAGACAAAAGCCUCAGCCAGUUGUCGAAGCUCGAGUCUCUGUCACUACGUAUGAAUUCUUUCACAGGUGUUAUCUCUGAAACUUUUUUUUCCAAUAUGUCCAACUUGCAGAUGUUUGACUUGAAAGAGAACUCUUUGACUUUGAAAUUGAGCCAUGAUUGGGUUCCUCCUUUUCAACUGAAAUGGUUAAGUCUUGCCUCUUGCAAGAUGGGACCUCAUUUUCCAAAAUGGCUUCAAACUCAGAAUCAGCUUGUACUUCUUGACAUCUCCAAUGUUGGAAUCUCAGACAGUAUUCCUGAUUGGUUCUGGGAUUUGUCCAGUGAACUCUCUUACUUAAAUCUCUCUAACAAUCAUAUCAAGGGUAAACUUCCUGAUUUGUCUUUAAGGUUUGAUGGUACUCGUAGUGGUGGUACUAGUAUAGACAUCAAUUCAAACCACUUUGAGGGCCCAAUUCCACCACUUCCUUCAAAUUCGCUGUUCUUAAAUCUCUCUAAAAAUAAGUUCUCAGGAUCAGUUUCUUUCUUAUGUUCUAUUAGUGAAAACACUUGGAACUUUUUAGAUCUCUCGAGUAACUUAUUGUCUGGAGGGCUUCCCGAUUGUUGGUUGCACUUUGAUAGCCUAUUCGUUCUUAACUUGGCAAAUAAUAGAUUCUCAGGACAAAUACCGGAUUCGAUGGGUUUCCUAAAUAACAUUCGGACACUGAAUUUACACAACAAUAGGUUAGCCGGGGAAUUGCCUUCAUCUUUAAGGAAUUGCUCCCAACUGAGAGUUUUGGAUCUCGGGAAGAACGCAUUUUUUGGUGAGAUACCAACGUGGAUAGGGGAAAGUCUACAAAAUUUGAUUGUUCUUAGCCUAAAAUCUAAUAACUUUCAUGGAAAUAUAGCUUAUCAAUUGUGCCAUCUGGGAUUUAUUCAAAUCUUGGAUCUUUCUUUAAACAUUAUAUCGGGAAAUAUACCAAAGUGUUUCAAUAAUUUUUCAGCCAUGACCUAUGAAAGAUGUUCCAAUCCUACCAUUGGGUUCGCCAAAUCUUUCUUAGUUCUCCCUGGAAUUGGAUAUUACUAUAAAUAUUUGGUCAAUUUACUGUUGACUUGGAAAGGAAGUGAAAAUGAGUACAAAAGUACUUUGGGACUUGUAAGGUGCCUUGACCUUUCGAGUAACAAAUUAGAUGGAGCAAUUCCUGAAGAGAUUAUGGAUCUUGUGGGGUUGAUUGCCUUAAACCUUUCAAGAAACAAUUUAACCGGACCAAUCACUCCGAAGAUUGGUGAGUUAACAUCAUUGGAUUUCCUGGAUUUGUCUAGAAAUCUGUUUUCUGGAAGUAUUCCAUCUAGCCUCUCUCAGUUAAGUGGUCUUGGCGUCUUGGACUUGUCGUACAACAACUUGUCAGGAAAAAUCCCAUUAGGCACUCAGCUCCAGAGCUUCAAUGCUUCAGUGUACGCUGGAAAUCUUGAACUUUGUGGCCUUCCACUUGCAAAUAUGUGUCCGGAUGAAGAAUCAACUCCAAGUCCAGGCACAGACGAUGAUUCAGACACUCUAGAAGAUGAGGACGAUCAGUUUCUAACUCUCGAAUUUUACGUGAGCUCGAUUCUUGGUUUCUUUGUUGGAUUCUGGGGAGUCUGCGGAACUUUAAUGCUGAAUAGGUCGUGGAGACAUGGUUACUUCAACUUCCUGACUGGUAUGAAAGAUUGGGUCUAUGUGACAGCAGCUGUGAAUAUUGCCAAACUGCAAAGAAAGUUUAAGAACUAACUAAACGGUAAUACUCCUUAACAUUGGGUUUCAGUCAUUGUUGUCAGCUCACGUGCUUUUAAUUUCUUCAUCCUUAAAUUUUACUUUUUCUCUUAGCUUUUGUUCUGCCAACUAAUUGUUCAUCUUCCUUUUUUUUUUUUUUCAUUCACCAUCUUUUUGGCAGGGUAUCUCUGGGAUGACAUCUUGCCAUUAUUAUUCAGAGUGGUCAUUUGAUAUUUGGAAUCUUUCUGAAAAUUAACUCAUAUGAUGCACAUUGUAUUAUUGAGUAUAUGCUUAAAGAAACUUGUAUGUGGUUCUCCUUAGACCAUCGUCGAUCUAUGCGUUUAUAUACUCUGGUUAGAGUUCAAUUAUGCUAUUAAUCCAUUACAGCAAUAAAGGCAGUCAAAUUCUGCUCUGCUAUUGAUCAAUGUUUGCUCUUUUUUCCUUUUCAUUGGGUGAAUAAAUAAUAAAAGACAAAUCGAAUCUUUCUAUUUAAAGAGUUGUUGACUAAUAAAACUACUAAAUGGAUGAUAAAAUUAAUUAAUUAAUUAAUUAAACUAGAAUAAUCUUAUUGACAAAGUAGGUGGUAGGUUCGUACGAUUCCGGAUCAUUGGUACUAAAAUGUGAAGGAAGAGAUCGAACUUUACAAGAAUUUGUUCUUACUGUAUUCGAACUGGUAAUUGAUUAAAUUUGAUUAAAUUUCUAUGAUGGUGACAUAUAAUGACUUAAAUAUUAUUUUCAGAGAAUAUCACACACGACUUUUCUAUCCUAAUUUUUAUCAAUUUUCCGAACGUAUCAUCACAUACCAUCACGUUCAAGACCCGGCCAACUCUAUAACUAAGGUGUUACUAACGCACAUUAAUAUUACAUCGCAUUUUCACUGCCAUGGCCAAUUUCAGCGUUUCUCAUCAUUACUCUCUAUUUUGGCAAGUAUGGUAGGAAUCUUUAAAACAACGUACAAGAAUCAAGGGGAAGAAAUAAGAAACUGUAAAGAAACAUAAGUGGGAUAUAUAGUUUGUGAGAGCAUUCAAUUCAGUUCGUGGGGGCAUAAGCUUAAAUAAUUGAUGCAAUUUUAAGAGGUUUUUUUCCCCCCCUUGUACAAGGCUAGCUCUGUGUGUGACACUAUGAGCACACAACAGUGGUGAAUAAUAUUGCCAAAUUGCAACAAAGCUGUAGGGGCUAAAAGUUAAGUGUUUGAAUAUAUAAUAUUACCAAAUUGUUAAUGCUUAUAGGCUAUGUUUGGGAGCUAGGAUUAAUUGUAGGAUUGGACUAAUUAUUGGGACGAAAUAUUAAUACCAUGUUUGGCAUGCUUACUGGGAUUGGACUAAUGGAAUAAAUUCAAAUUUUAAUCCUAAAUUCAUGGGAUCAAUAAUCAUAAUUUUUAUGUGGGUUUAGUUGGGACUAGAUACUGUCAAGAAAAAUAUUUGUCCAUUUAUAAUAUCUUCCAUAAUUUAUUACACCAUUUUAUUUAUAACUUAAAAAUUAUUUAUUUAUGUUUUUAAUUAAGUAAUUUAUUUUUAUUCAUGAUUUACUCAAAAGUUAUUAAUUAAUUUAUUAUUUGAAUAAUUUUAUUUAUUUUAUUUAAUUAAAUGAUAUAUCUCAUUUGAAAUAACUAAAUUUAAAUAAUUUAUACUUCUUUAUUUGUGUGUGUGUAUAUAUUUCUUUUAAGCUUGUUAGUCUUCUGAACUUGUAAUUGGAGAAUUUUGAAACUUUCGCUACAUUUAUGAUUUGAGAGAGAAAUGUCAAGUGUUCAAUUUGUGGAUUUAUUUAAUAAAAUUUGAGAUAUUUCAGUUUGAAAUUUUGUAUAAGGAUUUCGAUAUGUAAACAACCUCCUACUACCACGUGCUCCACACGUGAUAAAUUUGGAGUGUUACAGUUGUUAUGCUUUACAUAUCCAAAUUGAUUAAGUUGAAAAUUAGGGUAAGAUGAUUAAGUUCUAGGGUUUUACUCAAGAGAAUUCAAGAGAGAAAAGAUGAGGAAUUUAAGAAUUCAGAGGAGAGAGAGAAGAAUUAAUAAGGGUUGGAAUUAAUUUUAUUAUUGCUUGCUUAAAAAAAUAAUGAGAAUCACUUAUUUAUAGUAGCUCAACACACUCCUAAUUCUAAUCUAAUUAGAAUCUUAAACUAUAAUUGCAACAAAAAAACCUAAUCCUAAUAGGAAAGAAGUUAAAAUAAACUACUACGGUUAUGUAGAGAUUUGAUUGAAUUGCUAAUCUUAUAAAACCAAAACUCUGCCCAUGAUCUUUGACUAGGACCAACAUAAGUUGCACACAAGCAAUAAAAUUGAACCAGAAUCUAUUCAAUAUCCUCUCCAGUCUCAAAAGACAUAACCACUCAAUAACAUAAAUUAAACAGCAUAAAAGAAUGAAUCAGAAACAAAAUCAGAGAGAGAGCAAGACAUAACGUGGUUCAAUCUUUUUUUGAGUCCGCACUCUGUUAUGAGUAAAACGCAAGCUUUCAUGUCGUUUUACAUUAAGUAAUCACGAGCUCCCUCACGUGACUUCAUAACGGAAUUAACCGAUAGCCAAUACGCUGCCGUUUGCUCUGGUUUAUAUUUGAAUUCAUUAACUCUACAGGUUCUAAUAGAUUCUAAUAUGAUUUUGUUUCAAAAUCAAGAUUGAAGAUCAUCCACGGCAGUAGGAGAUUUAAGUUGGAUGACUUAUGGUGUUGACAGUCUUUUUUUUCUUUUAUUUCCAGAAUUUAUUUCCUCCUUUGCAAGUUGUGUUCUCUCAAGACUCACAGCUCUGCCAAAUUCUGGCGUGAAGGCUUAUCACCUUCCUCUUUAAUGCAGGUUUGCAGCCCACAUCAGUCGCCAGUUGGAGUCAAAUGAAAAAUUUAGGGUCGUGUAAUUAGUCUUGUGGUGAUUUAAUAAGAAUGCAGUGAAGAAUUAAGAGAUAUUCAAGUGCCUGCAAUUGUGUUGGUUUCCCAUCUCUGCAAUUGUGCCAGAGGGAUAGUCCAAAUUCUUGUUGCGUUCUCUCAACUCUCAAUUCUCAUGAUAUUAGUUAUAGCUUCGUAAAGAACAUUUGGCAACAUCAGAUGGAGGAAUCUGAAACAGAGAUGGCGUCAUUGCCCUAUGAUUGAGGCUUUGAAUUAACUCUUUCCCAGCAUGUUUCUUUGAUUCAUGAGGAUAUACAUUCUCUUUUUUUUUCAUAAUACAUUAAUUAAAAAUUAUACAAAUGGAAGAAGGAAGCAAGUAAAGUAAAUCAAACAUUGAACAUGACAAGGUACAAAAGGCAAGCGAGUCUCAGGUAUCAAGCUUUCCUAGGCGACAAUCAAGUUCAACAAAGCAAAGGUGAAGCAAGGCAAACAAGAAUUCAAGCCGCACGUCAUAGACUCACCAAGCUUCAACACAGUGAACAAAUCAAGGCUGCUUACCAGUAUUUGUUGUACAAGCAAACUUCUCAGUUUUAUGUCACAACAGAUGGUAUCUCGUGUUCUUGAGCAGAGAAGAUACAAUAAUAUUUACCAUUAGAAUCUGCUAUCAACUCUGUUAAAUGUUGUUGCUCCAUGACCUGUGUCUUCAUUUUCGCUAUGCUUUAAAUUUUCUUAAAAUCUAACUCAUUUUGAAAAAAAAAGAAACCCAUUUCAAUAAGACCAGUUUAUAUAAAUGCAUAAAGAAGCCAAGCCAGAUUUGGCUGGCGAGUGGUGAAUUGUGUGAUCUAAUUGUGAUCGUAUAUAAAGCCAUUAAGUUUACGGUUUGGUUAAUUAUGUACCGUAUAACAAGGUCUUUAUAAUUUCAACUUGUUCGUGAAUAAUCAACAAAGCUAUUGCUCUGUUCUUCAAGAGGACUUGGGCCAUAUCUUAGGCUGAACCUCAACUACUCUGUAUUUGAUUACUCUCUGUGAUUUGUUGAUUCUGUUUUCAUUUGAUUACUCUGUUAAUUCCUUUGAUUCUUGAUCAAAUAUCAAAAAGUUAAGUGAGGUCCUGGAGGAUCAUGAUCGGUCAUCUAACACUCUCAAACACGAGUUCUUGAUCUAACUUCCACAAACCUACGAAGUAUUUUGACUUUAGUUGGCAAAUGAAAACAAGGGUUUUAACAUCAAAGGAAAUGGUACCAAGGAAGAUGGCCAAUUCGGGAAUUAAGAUCACAAAGGAAGCAGAGGAGCUCUGUCGUUGGUCCCUGCAGUAUGCAAGUGAUUUUGAUCCUAAUCUCUCAACUUCGCAUCUAUUAUUGCUGGCCUAUCUUCUUCCGACACAGAGGGACAUUUCAAGGCAAGUACUACAAGAAUUUGCAAUUGCUUCACUUUUCCUUGACCCGGUUGAAUUCCAAUGACAAUGGGGUCCAUUAUCUCAACAAACCUAUUAUUUUCAAUAUGUUUCUUGACCCAAUCCUUAAAUAAAGUUUCAUCAAGGCAACAUUGAAAAUCAUAUGUCUUCUUGCCAAUCAAAAGCUCAAGCAGCAAGGCAGCAAAGCUAUUAACAUCGCAAUUUUCUCUGAAUGCUCCAUGAGAAUGGUAUUUAUGUUACCAUCCAACUCAAACCUGGAAAGAUAUUGUCUAUUUUAAGUCUUAACAAGGCCGCAUGGUUUUGUUUCUAGGACACCCAUACAUCCCAAAACGCAUAUUAUCAAUAAAGGUGUGGAUCAGCUCUUAUAAACCCAGCAUCUCUUUUGUACUUUGUCGAUGUGAGAUUGUCUUGGGUGUUACAAUUCAGGUGCCAUUAAUCCAAAUUUGGCCAUUGUGUGAAGUACUCUUAUGUGUAUUUUAACCUCUGAAACAAAAACUGGUGACAUGGAGGUAUUACAUGCAUUAUCAUUAAAUUAAUAUACGAGCUACUCUCAAAGUAUGUGUUGUAUGCAUGUUCUUAAUGUGGCUCACAUUCAUGAGUUUGAGAUUAAUUAAGGCUACUCACAUUUUUAUGAUUAGAUAAUGAUAAGAAUAGUUGUUCCAUAUUUCUAAAAAAUUAAGAUAAGGAUAAUUUCUCAUUUUCUUGAUGGAGGGAAGUGAAGGAAGUCCAUAAAAUAGACUAAGGGUCCUUAGCCUAGCCUACAUACGACUUUCCGUGAGAAUUACCCAUCGAAUUAAAGGCUAUAUAGAGGAAUAGACUAGAAAAUUCUAACCAUUUUUUCAAUUAACUUAAAUAAUAAUGACUGGAGGUAGAGGUACGUAACUUAUUUAAGUUUAUAAUCUAAAAUAUAUUUGGAAAAAUGUUUUUUUCAUCCCUAAGGUUUGAAAUAGCCUAUUUUAUCCUCACUACUUAAAUAAUAGUCUGUUUCAUUCCUAUUUUUUAAGUAAUAGCCUGAAACAUCCUUUCAUUAAUUUAUUGUUAUUAUACCGUAUAAUUCAUUGAGGGCAAAAUAAGAUUUCUAAAUAAUGAUCAAUUAUUUUAAAAUAAACUCUCAAAUACAAAUAAAAAAUAUCUGUCUUUCUACAUAAAUUUAAAAUUUAAGGAUUACUUAAGAAAGAAAAAAAUAACAUUAAAUAAUAUGUAAAAUAUACAUUUAGGACAAAAAAAACCCAUAGAUUUCACAAGCACUAGAUUAUUAUUUUUAUCCUUUAGCUUAUUCUUAACUUUAAUAUGGUCGAAAUAAAUAAAUAAAUGAUCAAUCAGUACUGUUAUUCUACCAAAAGUAAUUAUGGACUCCUUUAUUUACUUAAAAAAAAUACACACUAAAUACAUAACAAAAUACAUUUAAAAUACUGCAGAAUAAAAUAUAAUGCAUUGGAUUUUAUUUUUUUUAAUCUUUUAGCUUAUUCUUGACCUUAAUAUAAACAAUGAUUCUUGAUGAAAAGAAUUAUUAUUAUUAUUAUUAUUAUUAUUAUUAUUAUUAUUAUUAUUAUUAUUAUUAUUAUUAUUAUUAUUAUUAUUAUUAUUAACUUUGUUAAAAAAAGAAUUUAAUGAACACACACAUAUGUGUGUGUGUGUGUGUUGCAUAUUCUUUAGUAUUAUUUUUGUUUCAUUAAGUUAUACUUAAAUUUUAAAUUUAUGCAAAAAAGUCAAAUGUUAUUUAAUUAUUUUUGAGAUUUUUAUUUUAAAAAGCUUUAUAUAUUUAUUUAACUAAAAUUUUUUUAUUUUACCCUCAAUGAAUUUCAGAGUAAACUAAUUAUAAUUUUAUUUUACCCUCAAUGGGCGUGUCAUGAAUUAAGCCAAGCGUUUUAUUAUUAUAUUAGCAUUAUAAACAUCUCAACCGUUACUAAGUACUCUAUGGUUCGGGUAAUCAAUGUUUGUGUGUGUGAACUCCUGAUUAUUUUCAUUUGUCUCUGUUUCUAUCAGUGUUUGGCCUGGGCACAAAGUUUUUUAUGUUCUAAUUUAUUUUCGAAAUCAAUUGACUUUGUAUCAUUAUGUUAUGAUUUAUUUUUUAAAUGAAUUGAAGCAGAGCAAAGCUCACAACGUGCCGCCCAGCCGAAAUGAAUUGAAGUAGAGAAUUUCAGGUUUUAUUAUCAGUAAAACUUUAAUGUCUGAAGUCAAGUACUUAAUUAUAAGGUUUUAAUAAAUUAAACAAUUCAAAUUUAUUCUUCUUUUUAAAUUAUAAAAAUAUUAUUAGUAAAAAUUUUUAAUAAUAAACUAAACUCAACCCAACAAAAAUGUAUUUUGGGUGUCAUCGUUUCUUUACCAGGCGCUCUGACUCUCUUUAAAGAACCAGUUGAUAAUUUUUCUAUCAAAUUAAAGCUCCUCAAAAUAUUCAAAUUUUAUCUUAGUUAAUGUAACUAAUAAAUAAAAUCUCAAAAUUCACAUAAAAAAUUUAUGAAAAUGUUGAUAAUUGUUACUAUAUGUUAUUUUUUUAAGUAGUUUCAUACUAGUGACAAUUUUAUAUUAGAUUGAUAUAUUUUUUUUAAUUAGAAGGUUUUUUAAAUAAAUUAAAGUAAUAACAUUUUACCCCUAAUGUUUUUAAUCUAUAUAAUAAAUAUAUAAUUUAAUCAUUUUAUAAAAUAAGUCACUAAUUUCAAUUGAAAAAAAAAUUGAAUUAAGGACAUAUUUGAAUAUAUAUGGCUUAAUAUCAUAUGGUUUAUAUAUAUAUAUAUAUAUAUAUAUGGACGUCGUUACUAAAAUAAAAAAAAAAUACAGUUUUUAGAACACUAACAGCCAAAGUCCCCAACGUAUAUUUAUUUAGAUUCUCAAGAAACCUUUGAGGUUGUAUGAUAUCAAAGUUGGAUUCAUUACACAUGACUAGUAGGCAUUAACAGGGAUCUAUUUACAAUUCUCCAGAUAACAAAAAAGCGGUAAAUCUAUUAAAUUUAUUGCGCCCAAUUCUCAAAAUCAUUUGCUAGUAACAGAAAGAGGACUUCACAACCCCAGUAAUAAGAACUCUUAACUAAAGAUGGUCGAACAGGGCAAAUUCUGUGCAGCUCAUCUCUCGCAUUCAGAUUCAAAACCACAACCACAAGAAGCUGCUGUCUAUGGCAAUUGAAUUGCUCCAUUUUUCCCUAUAAAUUUUCGUGGAAAAUCAUCAGUAUGAAUAGGACCACAUCAAUGUAAAUGUACAUGUAUAUAUAGCAGCCAUUCAUCACAAAUAUAAUUACAUGUUUACAAAAAUGAAACAUUUUUUAUUUAUCCUAAAGCACCUUUUCCUUCCUCAUUUUUUUUUCCCUCUUCUAUGGUUUGUGAGUGUGUGCAUUAUGCAUGAGAAAUAUUUACCUUAUGAUACUAAGGUGUCCAACGAUGAAGCCAUUCAAUUUCCGUAAGGUAAAUGAACCAAGCCCAACAGAAUAUUUACAGACCAUGGACAAAAGGGAGGAAGACAACAAAAGGGAGAACCAUUUUUGUAAGCCCACUUGUACUUUCAGCGACAACCUAAGUGGUUGGCUGUGUGUUCAAUCAGAUCAUCUUUCCAAAGCUUAGAGUAUGGCUUUAUAUUUAGUUUCUUCGCAAAGUUCCUCAGAUCACCUAAUUUCAUAUUUCUCAAGUGACUAGAAGUAAAGGGGGAAGAUGCCACAGCCUCAGUGCAGGACUCAAUUGAAUGGGAGUCUGUGAUUGAGAGGUCAUCCUUACCUGCACUAUCAUUUGGGUCUCUGUGUGAUUUUGAUAAGUCCAUUUCAAGGAUUGGCAAACUUGUCUUCUUUUUUAUUUUCUUUUUUGGCAGUGAAACUGAAAUUUGCCUGUCAUCCAGAGCACCAUUGGGCUCAUUUGCUUCAAUUGGAUGAUGGUAAACUAUUUUCUUGACUAUCUUUCUGUCCAUAAACUGAUUUGAACUGGGAAUGUCAGAGCCAAGUCCAGAUUUCAAUUGUCUCUUAGCUUUUGAAAUUAUAGAUGAAUUUGAAACAAGUUCAAAAGAAAGAAAACCUUCUCUUUCUUGAACACCUGGUGGAUUUGACUCAAUUUUUCUCUUAGCCUUCUGCUUUUGUGGCUGCACUGAGUACAAAUCAAACCUCUCAUCAUUAGUGGCAGUUUCAACCACUUGAGCUUCUCCUGAUUGCAUUGAUCCCUUAUCAGGCUCUGCCUUGGUUAUAUCUCUUCCUUCCUCAUCCUGCAGCAGUGAAUGUUGGUUAUCAGUAGGACUAGCUCUUUCAACUUUGACAAUGUUCUCAAAAGGUACCUUGGUUGUAUCCCUCUCUUCCUUGUCUUGACACUCUAAAAAUGACGGCAGGGCCGAAUGUUCAUUACCACUAGGACUAGCUCUUUUAAACUCGACAAUUUUUUCAAAAGGUGCCUUCAUUUUAUCUCUUCCUCCCUCAUCUUGCAGCUCUAAAAGUGAAGGCAGGGCAAAAUUUUCAUUAUCAGUAGGACUAACUCUUUCAACCUUGACAAUUUUUUCAAAAGGUGCCUUGGUUGCCUCUCUUCUUUCCUUGUCUUGCAGCCCUAAAAGUGAAGGCAGGGCAGAAUGUUCAUUAUAAGUAGGACUAACUCUUUCAACCUUGACAAUUUUUUCAAAAGGUUUUCUAUUCCCUUCUGCUCCUGAAGAUGAAGAUGAAGAUAAAGAGUCUAUCUUGCCAGUCAGAGUCAAUUUUGAUUCUUUGAUGCACCAUUUACGUGCAGCUUUCUGAGCAAAAUCACACAGUUUUUGAUUAACAUCACAGAAU
rnacentral:lncRNA from 1 species